rnacentral:lncRNA from 1 species
CCUACUCGGCGAGUCGGACCUACAACUCGCCGAGUUCAAGGCUAAAAUGACAAAUACUUAGAUAAAUUUUACGUACCAGGAACCAGGUGCUACAUUGUAUGAUUCUAACGACAUAACAUAGUAGGAUAUUGAAGCUUAAAAUGAUAUUGUUUACUUAUAAUACAUAAGUGUAAAACAAUACUUUUCAACUACUAAACAUAGACAGGGGCUAGACAUGAAAUAAUGGAGGGCCGGGACCAUUUUAACAUUUAAGUUGUUCUGAAAUCCAACAACCCUAUGCGGCCCUUGUAACCAAAUUCACCAUACCAUAAGCAAUUAAAAGGUAUUGUAAUAACAUUUUUGUUUAAUUUAUAAUACUUAGUACAUGUAUUCUCCCCCAAAAUAAGUAAAUAAAAAAAGAGGGGUCGUAACACUCACCUUAACGUGCGAUUGACGAUUAGUGUUCUGCAAUGGAUGCAAGAAGGUCGGGUUGUAAUGUCGUGAAUGUGGUAUUCCGAGAAAAUUUAGUUUCCUAAGGAAACAAUAUCAUAAAUUAAUAUGUUGAAGUGGUUGGGUAUUUUUGACUAAGUAUAAUGAAUUAUCAAUAUUUUUUUUCUUUUUUUUCCAAUGUUUUAUUAUUUCAAAAUUUAUUUAAAUAAUUUAACUAAAUUUUAUCUAAAAAAUUAUUUUAAGAUUUUCCAAAAUCUGUAAAUAAAUCCAAAAUUUAUUUAAAUUGAAAUUAAAUUAAUAAUUUCAAAAAAACUUAUUUGUUCUAAAUUUUCUUUAAUAAAUCAAUAUUAAAAAAGAUAUAUUUACUGUUGUAUUAAAAGUUUGGAUUCAUUUUGAAAGGAUUUUUCCAGCACAGGGUAAGUUUAGCACAUUUUGAUUGAGGUUUCAUUAGGUUAGGACUGAUUUUGCAAACUUUUUUGAAAGUAGGGUAGGAGCUAUUAAAAUAUUUUUUAUGCAUUUUUCUUUUUGAAGCGUGUUGAAAGACCCUCACUUUCGUAUUUUUGAAAGACCCAAACUUUCAUACUUGACAAUAUAGUUACUCCAAAACAUGCUACUUGCAUAUUCAUAAAAACAAUAUUUUACAUUGAUAAAGAGAUUAAAAAUGACUAGAUACAAACCGACUAUUACAAAGUGUUAUAUAUUACACAACUACCCAGGAUACUAUACAUUUAUACAUACAUGAUCCCUAAAUACAAAAGUAAUAUUACAACUAUUCUAAACCUUCCGACAAUAUAUAACUAUAUUGGUUACUUAUCUCCUGCAAAUUUGUUAAACAUCGAGAGGGUAAGCGGUGACGCUUAGUGAGUUCAAUAAUAGAUACAAUAUAACGUUAUGCCAUAUAUAUAUACUUCAAUAUGGAAGAAGCAAAGAGGAACAAGGAACAACAAGGGCAUAUGUGAAUCAUGUGACAAACUUUCCAUAUCAAUCAUUGAUUUGAUUCAAAGAUAUACAAUCAAUGAGACAUAACGAUUUUCAUACUUGAUAUACAUCAAUAAAGCUUUGGCCCAAAUGGCACAGAAGACAUACAACUUUGGAUUAACAUUUGGUAGAUUUCAGGCUUAUAGCCUUGUCUAACCUUCUACCAAUACCAUAGAAUAUAAAUCAUUCUCUUACGGAGACAUGUUCUAUAUGGCCAUAGGCUACAUACGAGUACCAACGUGAAUCUAAGUCCUUUCAUUGAUCACAUGGUCAAACGUAUUUCUUUGCUAUUAAAAAUAGCGAAUAAAAAUAAUACGGGAAAAUAACCCAGAAUAAUAACACUGAAAAGCACAUAGCACAUAUAACACAUAACAUACAAUUGUUCCUAUAUAUUAAACUCACCUUGAAAUAACUGGGGGUUAAAAUAGUAAUUUGAGCAGCAUUUCGGCUCCAAAUAUGACUUUAUUCGUCGAAAACCGGGAGAUUUAUUGAAAAACCGAUCUUUGCGAAGGUAGAGGUUCAAACCGAAAAGAUAAAAUUUUCGGGCUUGUCGAGAACUUUGGGGCGUGUUUCGGGUGCUAAAAUUGAUACCGAGGCUCCGGGGGAUGUCAAAAGACUGAAAAUACUGAAAAAGGGGUGUAAAAUGGCAAUUUCUCAAAAUUACCCGAGAAGACUCGCAAGCCUUGUAUUUAUAGGGCGAGGAUGCGAGGGUUCAGCCGAGAAGGGCGAGCCAGCGAGGGCAGGUGGCAGCAGCAGCGAAGGCCAUGCGGCUCAUGCGAAGCUCGGACACGCAAAGGCUACGCGUCGCUCCGAGGUUGCUCCAGCGCCUCGGAUGCGAGGAGUCACUGUACACGCGUCGGAGUCUCAACUGGACAGCGCAUCGGUGACUAAGCUACUUUGGACACGAGGCGGACAUGGGGCAUGCAUGCGAUGAUCCGAUGACGUGGCCUAUUACGGACCUUAUCCUUGCGAGAUUCCUCGGAAAAUGAGCCCAAAUCUUCUAAAAUCCAUAACUUUCUCAUACGCGCUCCGUUUUUUACGUCCUUUAUAUGCACGCGUAGGCGGGAAUAUAUUCUACAACUUUCUUUUAGACUCCGCUGGCUAAUUUUGAAUUUAUUUUUAAUAUUAUUAUUUUUAACAGACCGAGACAGGAAAAUCCGUUAAAAAUUCAUAACUUUUUCAUCCGACAUCCGUUUUCGUCAGACUUUUUACCAUUGUACUACUAUUAACGAGACCUUCGAUUCUCGUUUAGGUUGUGUUGGCUAAAAAUCACUCGAUCUACAAUUUAUGUUUUUAGUUGUCUACUGCUAAGCUGAAACUCAGAAAAAUCAUAACUUCCUCAUACGAAGUCAGAUUUUGGCGUUCUUUUUAUCGAACUUCAUGGUUUAACGAAUACUACGACUUCCAUUUAGAUUACUAAGGCUAAAAAGUAGUUUAUCAAAAAGCUCACUUUUUACGUCAUUCGGCGCCGUGCCGGUUUUUUCGUGGAUCUUCGAUUGAUCAUAACUUCUUCGUUAUAACUCGGAUUUCGAUUAGGUUUUCGCCUACAAGUUUCUAACGAGAUUAUUUACAACUUUCAAUAAUAGAAUUUUACUCAUUUAAAAUUUUAUAUUUUCACUAAAUUUCACUAUUUGGCUUUUAAUUGGAAUCUCAUAAGACUUCCAAUAUUUUCUGAGUGAUUCUAAACAUAGUUUUACUUCAUUUCUAGUAAAAACUAUGUGUUAGAACUCAAUACUCAAUUUCACAUAAUAUUUCAUAAUAUUAGUCUCUUUUAUAAUUUACAAUACACGAUUUCAAAACGUAUAUGUUACAAAUACGUCCUCCUUAUGAGGAUUUCGUCCCCGAAAUCACAACGAUUAAAACCAAUGGGGAUACUUCGCUCUUAUUUCAUUCUUAUUCUCCCAUGUAUAAUUUGGGCCUCGAUGGUGCUUCCACUUGACAAGCACCAACUCCACUUUUUUUAUUACGUAGAUUAGUCGUUCAUUCGUUUACGAUCUUUUCAGGUUUUUCUACAUAUCUUAACUUAUUAUCCAAUUUCUCUUAGGAUAACAGAAUCGUUUCAUCAUGUACACCCAAGCAUUUGCACAGAUAACUCACAUGAAAUACAUCAUGAAUACCUGCCAAACCUUCAGGCAAUUCCAAGCGGUAUGCUUGUUUACUAAUCCUAUGGAUGAUUUUGAAAGGACCAACAAAUCUAGGACUUAGUUUUCCUUUCCUUCUCAAAUUUCAUAAUACAUUUCCAUGGGUUUCCUUCAGUAUCACCCACUUAGAAUUCUAUGGAUCGUCUCCUCCAUUUCUACAUAGGACCUUUUCGAUCCUGGGCUGCUUUCAUUCUUUCUCGUAUAAUUUGAUUCUUAUUAGUGGUGUCUUGAAUCAUUUCAGGGCCUCCAAGGAUCUUCUGUCCUACAUCACGCCAACAUAAUGGAGUACGGAAUUUACGACCAUAUAAUGCUUCAUAUGAUGGCAUUUUGAUUGAAGUGUGGUAACUAUUAUUAUACGAAAAUUCUACAAGAAGUACUUGUCCCAGUUACCACUGAAUUCCAAGGGACAUGCACGAAGCAUAUCUUCUACUGUUUGGAUCGUUCUCUCCGUUUGACUAUCUGUCUGGGGAUGAUAAGCUGUGCAGAGAGCAACUCGAGAUCCCAAUUCACGUUUCAUACUCGCCCAAAAGUGAGAAGUGAAGCGAGUAUCACGAUCAGAAAUAAUCUUUAGUGGCACACCAUGUCUCGCGAUGAUUUAGUCUAAGUAAACUUGUGCGUAUUUCUCCAUUAGAACCAUUGUACAUAUGGUGAGAAAAUAUGCACUCUUAGUCAGCUGGUCGACAAUUACCCAAAUGCUAUUAUUCUAUAUAGCAGUCUUUGGCAAUUAGAGUAGUACCAGGCAUAAGGUCAAUUCGGAAUUCUACUUGCCUAUUUGGGGUAGUCUAGGAAAUUCGUCGGGAAGAUCAUCAAGAUUUUCAUUAAUAAUGGAAACAUCAUUUACAAUUUUCUUCCCCUCUCUUGAGAUAUCAACUGCAUUAGCUGGAUAAGUAGGGUAUCCCUUCAAUAUAAAUUUACAAGUUUUUAAGAAAGCAAGUUAUUAUUUUUAACGUAGACAUAAAUAGAAUCCUCUUCUUUGAUAGGGAUGCAUACUAUCUCUUCGUAUCAUAAGAGUUUUGUGUGGUUCUUUGACAACCAGUCCAUGUUGAGAAUAAUAUCAAAUUUGGGCAAGGAGAUAGGAAUUAGGUUAGCUAGAAGAUUAUAACCUUCAAUUCCUAUGACACUAUCCCUAUAGACUUUAUCAGCAAGUAAUAAUAUAUUUCCUAUGUUAUCUAUAUGAAAUGAUUGGACAAUUGCGUAACAAGCAAUUUGAAAAGAAUGUGUGAAUUUAUAAGGCACGAAAGAAUCUGAGGCAUCGAAAUCAAAUAAGAUGUGAACGGAUCUAGAAAUUACGAGAAAAUUACUAGUCACAACAUUCGAGUCCUAACUUACUUCUUCUGUGGUAAUCUAAAAUGUACGGUAUUUAACUUUUGGUUUUCCAAACGAUUCUCAAACUCUUCAAACUUCUUAGUUACUAGUGGUGCUCAAACCUGCACUCACUCAUCAUUCUCUAUUGGACCUUCGAUCCUAAUCUUUGAGUUAAAACUCAAUUGUCAUUGCAGACUCCUUCUCCUUCUUGGUUUAUAGACUAAACUCAAGAUAAGGUCUUUACUUUUGCUACAACAACAACUCGAAUGGUCAUAUUCUAAUGACUUUUGAUUUUAUAUCGCACAAGACACAUAACGAAUCAAACUCUUGGAUUAGAUUCAGAUCGAAUAACUCGAGCUGAUGCAAUAGAGAAAACAAAAAGAUUUUGAUCAACACGUGGAUGCUUCGGAACAGAAAGAAUAGCACCACGUAUCUCUAAUUCGUGCUUUCGGACAUACACAUCAGUUUUGUCAAAUGACAGAAUAUUUCGAUUGAUUACGAAAUCACGAAUUUCAUACUGUAAUCCUUCCAUGAAUAACUAAAUUCUUCAUCGUCUUCAUAAUAGGUAACAUCUCUACUUAAUGGUUGCUCAAUUCUUUAAUGAAGAUUGUUAUAUUUCUAUCGACCAUCUCCUUCUUGAAUGAAGUUUCGUCAUUACUCAAUACAUGGCUUUCUAAACCAAUCAACUUUAUCUUUGUAGAUUUAUAUUAAUUAGACUCCACUCUUUAUGACAUUAAGAUUUGAACGAUAAUUAUCUUCUUAGACAUUACCGAAACGAAGGUAACGACACUCAUGAAUAAAACAGAAUCAUUUACUAGCUUCUUGGUAACCUUGUGACUCUCCCUGAUCCAAGCGUGAGUCCUGUGCUUCCAAUAGUAUAGGCCUCUACUACCAUUCACACCUAUUCAUUCUCGUCCCAAGCAUUGUCUCGCAGUUUUCCAAGUCACCAUUAAAAAUCACAAAGCAACUUAUCACACAUGAAUGUGUUCAAGAAAGUACAUACAACAAUUUCUCCUAGACUCAAUUAGGGUUUUCACGUUUCUAUCGGACACGAGGCGGUUUUUAAUUCAGCAUCCUAAUCAUGUAUGUUAAAGUCGGCUUAACACACAAUGGAACUUCCAUAAAGAUGUGAUAGAAGUCAAUCAUCACUCACUAUUAUUAAAUACUAAGUCUGAGCAUCCCGUAUAAAGUUACUACUUGAACUACAUACUACAUCACAAAGUCUUGGCCUUUUGAGUCUAAAAACUUCAUUAGCCUUUCCUUUAAUCUUUAUUUAAUUCUUCUAAAUCAUGUACCACAUUAAUUUCAAUAUUGUUGAAGUAUUUAUCACAAUCUUCGGUUCUUCCGACUCUCUAAACAAUGAUUGCUUCAAUCUGGACAGUGGUGGAACAAUUUCAUGGAUUUGCACCAACACAUUUAUCUUACCCAAAUGUGUUUCAAACGCACAUCAUUCUCCUAAAGAUGUUAUUAUUUCAUAAAAUUUAUACUUUGAAUGUAUGACACCACUCUAUUGGUGUUAAUACACUAUUUACGAUUUCACUUGGUAAAUAUUAUUUUAUAAUAUCCCUCGAUCGUUUAUGUACAAACUUAUCGAUGUCGAUUAUUUUAAGUCUCUUUAUCACAUCGAAAAGUUUCAUGUAAAUUCUAAUACAAAAAUUCUUAGAAUUCUAAACAUAAAAAUCUUCUCUUCUAAACCAAGGUCGUCAACAGACCUUAAACUUUCUCAAAUAAUAGCAAUUAUAGAUAAGUAUUCUAAGGCAUGCUAUAUUCAUUUAUCAUUUAGCACAUAUUAGAAUAUAAGGCAUAUCUCCUCUUAACAUUCUAGUUCUUGUCUCCAUUUAGGUAUUCAACCUAAAAUAUACCAGAUACAUAUUGUAUCAUCUUCACUUAAAAAUUCAUGUUUGAGUCUAGAAAUUCUCAAAAUUCCUAGUUCACUUAAACUAAUUCUCUGAAAAUUUUGAAGUAACUUAAUAUCUUAGAAUACUAGAGUUUAUCACUACCCAAUACCCCACUUAAGUAUUUCCUAUGGUUUGUAUCCAUAUAAUUAUUAUGAAUCCAGUUCAUAAAUUGAACUUCCAACAGUUUAAGUCUAAAUACCAAUCUGUGGUAUUUAGUUCAGUUAAACUAUUGCUCUGAUACCAUGAUUGAAAGACCCUCACUUUCGUAUUUCUGAAAGACCCAAACUUUCAUACUUAACAAUAUAGUUACUCCAAAACAUGCUACUUGCAUAUUCAUAAAAACAAUAUUUUACAUUGAUAAAGAGAUUACAAAUGACUGGAUACAAACCGACUAUUACAAAGUGUUAUAUAUUACACAACUACCCAGGAUACUAUACAUUUAUACAUACAUGAUCCCUAAAUACAAAAGUAAUAUUACAACUAUUCUAAACCUUCCGACAGUAUAUGACUAUAUUGGUUACUUAUCUCCUGGCACAGAAGACAUACAACUUUGGAUUAAUAUUUGAUUCAAAGAUAUACAAUCAAUGACACAUAACGAUUUUCAUACUUGAUAUACAUCAAUAAAGCUUUGACCUAAAUGGCACAGAAGACAUACAACUUUGGAUUAACAUUUGGUAGAUUUUAGGCUUAUAGCCUUGUCUAACCUUCUGCCAAUACCAUAGAAUAGAAAUCAUUCUCUUACGGAGACAUGUUCUACAUGGCCAGAGGCUACAUACGAGUACCAACGUGAAUCUAAGUCCUUUCACUGAUCACAUGGUCAAACGUAUUUCUUUGCUAUUAAAAAUAGAGAAUAAAAAUAACACAGCAAAAUAACCCGGAAUAAUAACACUGAAAAGCACAUAGCACAUAUAACUCAUAACAUACAAUUGUUCCUAUAUAUUAAACUCACCUUGAAAAACCGAUCUCUGUGAAGGUAGAGGUUCAAAACCUAAAAGAUAAAUUUUUCGGGCUUCUCGAGAACUUCGGGGCGUGUUUCGGGUGCUAAAAUUGAUACCGGGGCUUCGGGGGAUGUCAAAAUACUGAAAAAGGGUAAAAUGGCAAUUUCUCAAAAUUACCCGAGAAGGCUCGAAAGCCUUGUAUUUAUAGGGUGAGGAUGCGAGGGUUCAGCCGAGAAGGGUGAGUCAGCGAGGGUAGGUGGAAGCAGCAGCGAAGGCCACGCGGCUCAUGAGAAGCUUGGACACGCGAAGGGCACGCGUCGCUCCGCGGUUGGUCCAGCGCCUCGGAUGCGAGGAGUCACUGUACAUGCGUUGGAGUCUCGGCUGCACAGUGCAUCGGUGACUAAGUUACUUCGGACACGAGGCAUGCAUGUGAGGAUUCGAUUAGAGAUGCACACAAAAACCGGAUUGGCCCAUAGGAUCCGAUCCGAUCCGAAAACCGGAUUAGGUCAAAACCGGUUUUGACCGAACCGAUUCGGAUUGAACCGGUGACCGAAUUUAAACCGGAUCUGCAUUUCGGAUGAGGAAUCGGAUUAGACCCCGGAUCGAGAACCGGAUUUGAUUGAAACCAGAUCUAAAACCGGUUUGAAACCGGAUGUUUUUUGUCACCGUUAGAAAACGGGAAAAAUUGAAUUUUUUGUUUUUUUUUUCCUAGCUAGCCGUUAGAACAAAAAAAACGGCUACUUUGACUUUUUUUUGACUUUUUGGCACUUCUAAACACCUAUAUAUACCUUUCAUUUGCUACAUUUCAAUUUUACACAAAAACUCUACUACUUAUUUUCAUAAUACUCCAAAAAAUGAGCUCGAGAAAUUCAACCGCGGGUCAAGAUUCAGAUGCAACGGUGGUUAAAAUCAUACCAACCACUCGGAGUAAAGAAGUGUGAGAACAUUACGAUUUGUGUUUGUUGUCGAACGGGAAGGAAAAAGCGAGAUGCAAGAAGUGCGGAAUGUUUUUGGGAAAAGAUGGCAAUAGCACGUUGAAGAGUCAUACAACAAAAACUUGUCCGGCUGUAAAAGGUCAAAGCGAUACAAGUCAGCCAAAUAUUACUCCUGACGGGUCAAUCUUUAUUUACAACAAUGAUGACCUUCGUGAAAGCUUUUGCAAGUUCGUGAUUCAAGAGGGCUAUCCUUUCAACCACUUCGACAACCCGCGAUUAACAAAGAUUUUGCGGGAAAAAAUGCAACCGCAAUACCGGUAAGUAAGUCGCACUUCUCUUAGACGUGAUACUUUAAAGUAUUGGGAUAUAGCCAAAAAAGAUAUGAAAUUGGGAUUUUUAAAUAUAAAAGCCGGUGUUUCUUAAACUUGUGACGUUUGGUCCUCCAUCGGUAGUUGUCCCAAAAGCUAUCUUUGUUUCACAGCACAUUGGAUAGAUCCCUCUACUUAGGUAAUGAACAAACGAGUUAUUGCUUUUGAACUUUUUGCGCAUCCUCACACGGGGGCAAGAUUAUUUGCAAUUUUAGUAAGCGUUAUAGAGACUUAUAAUUUACGCGACAAAAUCUUCUCUAUUUCGUUUGACAAUGCAAGUAACAAUACCGCCGCGGCAAAAAGAUUAAUUGCAAAAUAUAAACCUAUUUUGGAUGGCUCGUUUUUUUCAUACUAGAUGUGUUUGUCACAUUAUUAAUCUUGCGGUACAAGAUGGUUUAAAAAUGAUAGAUUCGACGAUUGAAAAAUUCAAAACUGUGUUAACUAGAGUUUUUGGAAAAAAUAAAGCUACAAUGGAAAAAUAUCGAAAGUUUGCCAUUUCCAUUAACGUAACUCCAUAUAGUCCUCAUUGGGAUUGUGACACUAGAUGGAGUUUAACAUGCAUGAUGUUUGAAAGUUUGGCACGUCAAAGAAUCGCUUUGCAAUUAUUUUACGACACAGGAAAAAAUCCGGUUUCGGAUUAUGAUUGGGAUUUGAUGGAAGAGUUUGUGGAAAUGUUAAAAGUUUUUAAACAAUCAACCACUUUUCUAUCGGGUGUGUAUUACCUUACAAGUCCGUUGUUACUAAAUGAAUUAUGGUUGAUGUCCGCACAAUUGGAACGUUUUGAACAAAGAAGUGAAAUAUUUGUUUUUGUUACGAGACCAAUGAGACAAAAACUAGUCAAAUAUUUCAAAGAAAUGCCACCACUUUUUACUUGCGCCGCAGCAUUAAACCCAUGUAUCAAUGUUACGGGUGUAGAGGCUUUGAUUACCAAAAUUGCUAUGUCUUUAAAUUUGCACAAAGAUAACUCAAACUACAUCCGUAACCAAAUAAACAUUUUUAAUGAUACUUUUACUAAUUUGUUUGACAUUUACGCUACAAAAUAUGGCAAUAUGUCAAACACUUUUGCAAGUGUAACCGACUCUACUAGCGGUGCAUCGGGUAGUGGUGGGGGUCGAACGGAUUUUCAUAUCGACCUCUAUAACUACCUUUUGGAGGAGCAAAACAAAAGAGCACGCACAUUAACGCCUAGUAGCGAACUUGGAAUUUAUAUGGGUUCAAACUUUUUAAAAUUCAUGAGUGCACCACAAUUUAAAAAUUUGGAUCUUUUGGCUUGGUGGAGAGAAAAGGAAGCACAAUUUCCUAUUCUCUCCGUCAUGGCCCGUGAUUUACUAACCGUCCAAGCUUCCACGGUAGCUUCGGAAUCCGCUUUUUCUUUUAGUGGAAGAGUUUUAUCAAAGUUGAGGACAAAUCUUACCCCGGUUGCGGUAGAGGUUUGCGUUUGCUUGAAGGAUUACUUGGAUUAUGUGGAACGUAUACAACACUUGGCAUCACUAGAAGGCCCACUAUCACAAAAGGUUGAACCGGAGAUCAUGGAUGAAGAAUAUGCACAAGGCUUAUCAACACCUCCGGAAGACGAAGACGAUGACGAUGAAGUCGAAGACGAAGACGAGGAUGAAGAAUAUGGCAUUGAUGAGACCCCUAGUUACUUGCAUGGCGGUUGAAGAAUAAUUAAAUGAAGGCGACACGAAGUGGAAGACCACAAAAACUAUUUCCAUUUGGCUAAAUGUUAUAACGCCACUUUAUUAUUAUUAUUAUUAUUUAACUAGUUUAAAAACUCUUUCUAAUUCGACGUUUGAUGUAUGUUUUAACUAUUUUAAUGUAACCAUGUUGCAUUUUGUGUUAUAUUUGAGGUCCAAAAAAUGUGUAUUUUAAAAAAAAAAAGGUCAAAGUCGGAUCGGAUCGGAUCCGGAUCGGAUUAAACCGAAUCGGAUGCGGGGCUCGGAAAACCAGUCAAAUACAGUUUGAAACCGGUUCAGAUUAAAGGAGAAAUCGAUUCAAUGUGACAUCAUCAAACCGGAUCGGAUCGGGUCUUUGUGCAUCUCUAGAUUCGAUGACGUGGCCUAUUCCGGACUUUAUCCUUGCGAGAUUCCUCGGAAAAUGAUCCCAAAUCUUCUAAAAUCCAUAACUUUGUCAUACGGGCUUCGUUUUUGACGUUCUUUAUAUGCACGCGUACGCGGGAAUAUAUUCUACAACUUUCAUUUAGACUUCGUUGGCUAAGUUUGACUUUAUUUUUAAUAUUAUUAUUUUUAACAGACCAGGACAGGAAAAUCCGUUAAAAAUUCAUUACUUCUUCAUCUAAUAUCCGUUUUCGUCAGACUUUUUACCGUUAUACUACUAUUGACGAGACUUUCGAUUCUCGUUUAGGUUGUGUCGGCUAAAAAUCACUCGAUCUACAUUUUGAGUUUUUAGUUGUCUACUGCUAAGCUGAAACAUAGAAAAAUCAUAACUUCCUCAUACGAAGUCAUAUUUGGGCGUUCUUUUUAUCGAACUUCACGUUUUAAUGAAUACUACGACUUUCAUUUAGAUCAGUAAGGAUAAAAAUUAGUUUAUCAAAAAACUCACUUUUUACGUCAUUCGGCGCCGUGCCAGUUUUGUCGUGGAUCUUCGAUUGGUCAUAACUUCUUCGUUAUAACUCGGAUUUCGAUGAGGUUUUCGCCUACAAGUUUCUAAUGAGAUUAUUUACAACUUUCAAUAAUAAAAUUUUACUUAUUUCAAAUUUUAUAUUUUCGCUAAAUUUCACUAUUUGGCUUUUAAUUGGAAUCUCAUAAGACUUCCAAUAUUUUCUGAGUGAUUCUAAACAUAGUUUUACUUCAUUUAUAGUAAAAACUAUAUGUUAGAACUCAACACUCAAUUUCAUAUAAUAUUUCAUAAUAUUAUUCUCUUUUAUAAUAUACAAUACACGAUUUCAAAACGUGUAUGUUACACAUGUUCUAUAACAGGAGGUAUGCACCUCUUGCUCUUCAUCUGACGUAGGGAAUAAACACAAAAAAAAUAAAAAAAUAAAAAUUUGAUCGGUUCUAUGAUCAUCGGUGAUUCAGGAAGGAUUAGAAACUGAAACAAGGGGGUGGAGGAACUUACGAGGUGGAGUAGCAACAACAAGAGGCGGUGAUGGCGGUGGUUUUGAAGUUGCGACAGGGAGGUGACAGGAGGCCACUCUGUUGGUCUUCUUCCACCUUCUUCUGGCUUAUAACGAUGGGUUUCGAUGUAGGGAGUGUGGAAAGGCCAUUAGGGAUAGAAAUUAGUAGUAAUCCAUGCUUGGAGAGGGUAUUUCACAGUGGUGGUAAUGGGGGUUUUGAUGGUGGCACGAGGGUGACUGCCCUCAGUUUUCUUCCUUAUUUGUAAGCUCAAACUUAUGGGGGGAAGGGGGUGAGGGGUUUUAAUAACCAUAUGGGGUUAUAAGGAUGUGUUUUANNNNNNNNNNNNNNNNNNNNNNNNNNNNNNNNNNNNNNNNNNNNNNNNNNNNNCAAAGUGAGAGAGAGUGAUCAAGACGAAGUGGUUGGAGGUUUGUGUUGAAUGGAGUCACCAAUGCCUUCCUUUUAUAGCAAAAGCCCACAUACACAUACCCUUUUGAUCCAUACUCCAUGAUGUCAUGUACUUGAUUUACAUGGUGUGCAAGCAAUCCAAGGAGAGAGGGGAGAAGUAAACCCACAUGGGCAAGGUUAGGAGGAAGGGAAGUCAGAUUUUUUUGUGGCUUAUUGAAGCAUGGGUGAGCCCCACAUGGGGUUAUACCCCAAUUAGAUGCCCAAAACACAACAAACAGGUGCAUCGGAAUCCGAAAGUCGAGAAAUAUUUUUGAAAGUAGCAUUAGAUAGAGUUUAAUUCAAGGAUUCUGGAACAUCAAACAGAUUAAUUUUUGGUGUUACGGAACUCCAGGAAAUUGCGUUUGAAGUUUCGCGUCUAAACGACUCGUGGUGUCCGUUUUCGUGAAUUUUGUAAAUAAUUUUGUUAAAAAUAUUUCGAGUGUGAAAUUCAAUAAUAGACUAUAGUCUGAUUCCAAAAGUGUUCUCAAAAAUCCUAUCAGCAAUGCAUAAGUUUCUUAGCGGAUCGAUUCAGUUUUACGCGAUUAAUGAAAAAUAGUGUUUUACUAUCUGUUUUCUUAAAACUAUCGUAUCCUUUGCAUACGAACUCCGUUUUGGACAUUCUUUAUAUUUUCAGAAACAGGGGAAUAUGUACUAUAAUAUUUUAAUGUUUGCUUUGCUCAAAACUGCUUAAUGAAUAAAAAUAUUUUUUCAGAUGUAUUAUUCAGCGUUGUAGUUUGAUUCGGUUGUCAGUUUACACAUCUAGAAGUAAAGUAGCAUAUGACAUUAUAUAAUAAUUGAAUUGAACUCAUUUAUUUUACUUUGGAUGCAUUAAAACCGAAUGAUUUAUAUUAAAAACAGAUUUACUAUGAAAUUAGCCGUUCUUAGUCUAGGCCCUAUAUUCUGGGAUGUCACAUUACCUCCCUGUUAAGGGAAUUUCGUCUUGAAAUUAUUAAGUUCUAGGCUACUUUGUGCUAUUAUUAGGUCGUUUCACCAGUGGAGGGAGCAUUGCUAAACAAUUGUGGGUACUUCAGUUUCAUUUGAUCUUCACGUUCCUAAGUAAACUUCGACCCUCUUCGAGAGUUCCAUCAGGCUUUUACUAUAGGAAUGCGAUUUCGCUUGAGUCUUUUGAUCUCCCGAUCCAUACGAAGUGAAGCUUUGUGUUGACCUGGAUCUCAUCAAGUGGUACGACAAGGUUUUCAUCAGCUAGACACUUUUUGAGAUUACACACAUGGAAGGUAUCGUGAACCUUGCUGAGCUCUUGAGGUAGUUUGAGCUUGUAAGCUACUGGACCAACCCUUUCUAGGGUCUUGAAGGGUCCAAUGUAACGUUGAUUUAGCUUUUCUCUUUUUCCAAAUCUUAUGACACCCUUCCAUGGAGCAACCUUUAGUAGGACACGGUGUCCUACUUUGAAUUCCAAUGGUUUCCGUAUAUUGUCAGCAUAGCUCUUCUGUCAACUACGUACGACAUGUAAUCAUUCUUUUAUUUGAACAAUCUUUUCUGUUGUCUCUUGAAUGAUUUUUGGACCGGUGAAUAGUGUAUCCCCAAUAUGCUUCAUAGCUAGUUGGGUAUCUCCAACUUCUGCCGAACAUAAUAGUGAACGACAUUUGUGUCCGUACAAGACCUCGAAUGGGGAAACCUUUAUACUGGUGUGAUAGUUGUUGUUAUAUGAGAACUCAACUAGUGGUAAGUGAGUAUCCCAUGCGUUGCCGAAGUUUAUCACACAAGCGCGAAGCAUAUCUUCUGGAGUUUGUAUUGUUCUUUCUCUCUGGUAAUCCGUUUGAGGAUCGUAUGUUGUACUCAUGUCGAGUUUUGUUCCUAGGGACCUUUGCAGUGAUCGCCAAAAUCUGGAAGUGAAUCUAAUAUCUCGGUCCGAGAUGAUAGAUAUUGUGUAACAUCCCAAUUUUCGAGGCCAAAAAUUUCUUUUUUUAAAUAAAUACUUAACAACAUAGUUUACCAAAACUUUACCAAAGUCAUGUCAUUUUAUAAAAACUAUAACAACGUGUUCGAAAACCAUCUCAACAUAAGUAAUAUAAAUCAGAGUACAAUCCCAGAAACUCAAGGCGGAAAAUAUAUGUGUGUGUGUGUGAUGCGCUGCUACACCACCAGCUCCUUCCCCUUAGACGAAGAGGUACCUGAAACCAAAACUGAAACUGUAAGCACAAAGCUUAGUGAGUUCCCCCAUCAUAGCACAUACCAUACAAUCACACAGAAUAAAUACUGUCGGACAUUUUUAGGGUGCCCGACCUACCCAUGUCAAGCCAUUCUGGGGUGUUGACCUACCCAUGUCAGGCCGUUCUGGGGGUGCCGACUACCCUCCGGUCUAUCUCAACCGGCAUCGCAUACUAUUUCACCCCUACCUAAAUCUUACAAUAACAAAAUAUAAUCAUACGGUCAGGCAUAUCUGGGUUACUGACCUACCCUUCGGUCCUAACAACUAAGUCAUGGAAAUACCAUUCCCUGCUACUACCACUAACUCACAUAGCAUAUCACAUAAGCAUAUCUCAUAAGCAUAUCUCAUAGGCAUAUCACAUAAGCAUAUCUUGUAAGCAUAACAACAUAAUUAUCAGAAAGACAACUAUCUACCAAUUACCCUUGUUGGUGUGCCGACAUUGUGACCUUAGACCCACCCUACUGGAAGGUAACUCACCUCGAUGUCGUGUAGUGUCUGAAUUAUCAUUGGCGUGCAACUCAACUCUUCUCGACUCCUCAAUCCCAACACGACAACCCUUCUAAGUUAUCAAUUUGAAUAUGCAACCCUAACUAGGGUCAACUCAAACCAGUCAAAGUCAACAUCCAGUUGACCUACCUUGCCGAGUUUGCCCACCGACUCAUCGAGUCCCCAUAUCCACCAAAAUGUCAUAAACCCGUCUCCACCCGUCGAGUCUAGCAAGAGUUCGACGAGUUCACCUUCACCCACACAUCGGAAAAUCUUCAACCGACUUGUCGAGUUCGUUCUUGAACUCGUCAAGUUCAUCUUCAUCCAUAAGAAGAUGUUCAGUCUAUGACUCGUCGAGUUCAUGUUCAUCCAUAAGAAGAUAUUCAGUCUAUGACUCGCCGAGUUCCUCUCGAACUCGCCGAGUCCAUCUUCAUAAGUUGGGAGAUUGCCUUGGACUUGCCGAGUCUGUUCAUACACUCGUCAAGUCCCAUGAUUUCUAGGUCCAAGUAAACCCUUAGCAGGCUGAGCUUUCCUUCCACUCAACCCAAACCAUUUCCAGAAGAUGUUUUUGGGGAAAAAGCAUCUCGAAUCGCCGAGUCACCCAAGUGACUCGUCGAGUCCCUCCUUGUCCAAUACUAUACAUUCGAUUUUAGUGGGACUUAAUGCAUCCAAAUCAUAGAUCUGACCUCCUAGGGUCCCUUUUAUAUGUAAAGUCACAAACUUGAUGUCCAUGCAUGGGGUCUUUGGCUAAAAAAGCCAUAAAAGAUGGUCUACAAGAUGCAUAGGGUGUUUAUGGCAACAAGGUGGGCACCUUUAUGCCAUAAAGACCCCCAAUAACCCCAUAUCUAAAGCACAAACUGACUUCCAAUACUCAAUCCCGAAUACAACCUGUCUAGGGCUUAGAAAGACGUAGAAAAAGGCCCAAAAUCAAGAUCUAGAUAAUGAAUAGACAAGGUUUCAGCUUUAUACCUCUAAUAAGCUGGAAAUAUGCUCAAAACUCUGGAUCUUCUUGUUCCCCCUUGAUCUCACAAGCCUCCUACUCUUCUUCAAGCUUUAAUCACACAAAGUAACACCAUAAGGCUCAAGAACACACUAAAAACGACUAGGGUUUCGAGUUAGGGUUUGCUCUGGACGAUGGCGGCUGAGUUGAGAGGUUAUAAUGUGUUUAAAUAGGGUGCAAACCCUCAAUUUAGGGUUUCACUCAAACAGCGUCUACUCGCCGAGUUGGUCUCCCGACUCAUCGAGUAGACUACUUAAACUUUCCGUGGAUCAGGACUCUACUCAACGAGUUGGGCCUCCAACUCGUCGAGUCCCAGAGAAAAACAUAAAUAAUACUUGAAUUAAAGGCAUACCAGGAAUCAGUUGUUACAUAUUGGCAUGUCGUGUAGUUUUACUAUCUCCUUGAGAUAGGUCCUAGUGAGUUUCCCUAUCUUGUCAGUUUCCUUGAUGGCUAAGUAGUGGGUGGACGUGGUCAAAUGGCCAACCACUACCCAGAUGGUAUCAUAACCGCUUGAUGUUUUUGGUAGUUUUGUUAUGAAGUCCAUUUUUAUUUGUUCCCACUUCCAUUCUGGAAUCGACGGUUAUUGUAGUAGACCUAAUGGUUUCUGGUACUCUGCUUGACCUUGGAGCAGGUCAAACACUAAUUGACAUAUGUGGCAAUUUCUUCCUUCAUGUUGGGCCACCAAUAAAGCUUUUUGAGAUCGAGAUACAUCUUGUCUGAUCCGGGAUGUAUUGAGUAUCUCGAUUUGUGAGAUUUAUUUAAAAACAAAUCCAUGACUUCUCUAAAUCUUGGAGUGCAAAUUCGGUUCAUGAAGUAUCGCGUUCCAUCUUCUUUGAGGUCAAUUUUGUUUAUCCAUGCCUCGUAGGUGUUCUUCCACGAUGUUCUCAGGUUUAAGUGCUUCUAGUUGAGUAUCACGAAUUUGGGUAGUGAGGUUUGAAUGGAUGAUUAGGGUUAGAGCCUUUACACGAAGAGGUUUUGCUCAUUCUUUCCCGCUUAAAGCAUCUGCCACGACAUUUUCUUUACCGGGAUGAUAACGAAUUUUGCAUUCGUAAUCAUUUAGAAAUGCGACUCAUCUUCGUUGCCUCAUAUUGAGCUCUUUCUGAUCAAAGCUCUAUUCAAGGCUGUCACACCCCCAAACCAGAAACAUCUGGGGGUGGAUGACUCCAUGUACAGUAUCAUAACAUAGUGAAUAAUAGUGAUCAAAUCCAUACAACCAUACAAUUGAUAAUUAAGAAGUUUACAUUGUGCUUAAAAAAUUGUUUACUUGAUAUCAAAUACGUAUGACAAAAAUAAAUAACGUGACGCUGCGACGCCCUAUCCUCAAAACCUUUUUGGUUACCUGUCUACUGAUUUCCUGAGAAUACAAGUGGUUUUGGAAAAAAAAUGUGUCAAGAAUUAAGUUGGUGAGUUCAUAAGAGUUUUGUAUACGAAAAAUCGGUAACUUUUUGUGACAACCCAAUAUUUCAACUAUAUGUAAUGACCUAAAAAGUCAAGUAUUGUAACCACUUUUGAGAUAAUGAAAUUAACUUCGAAAAUAAAAUGUCCAAAAAGUUUCUAUUUAAUUACCUACUAUGUUUGAUGUCAUUAAACCGUGAUCGUACGUAAAAAGAAUGCCCAAAUCCGACUUCGUAAAUUGAAGUUAUUAUUUUUCCAAGUUCGGCUUAGCAACAGACAGCUAAAAACUCAAAUCGGAGAUCGGGCGACUUUUGGCCGGAAUGAACUAAACGAGAAUCGAAAGUCUCGAUAAUGGUAUUUCAGCGGUAAAAAGUCUGGCAAAAGCAGACGUCAGAUAAAGAAGUUAUGAAUUUCUAACGAAAUUUUCUUAAACGCGACAUUUUAAAAAUAAAUAAUAAAAAUAAUUUCAAAAUUUGCUGACGGAAUCUAAACGAAAGUUGUAGAGCGUAGUCUCACCUACGCGUGGAUAUAAAGAACAUCGAAAACGGAGUUCGUAUGAAGAAGAUAUGAAUUUUAGAAGUUUAUUAGUUAAAUAAAAUAUAAAUUUUAUUAUUAAACAUUGGUCUUGAUAGAAGGCUACAUUUAUACUAGUAGAAAAUAUAGGAUUUUCUAGAAGCAAACAAACAAGAACAAAACAUUUCAUUUCAUACAAACAUUGUCAUUUAAUACUUAUGAAACUCACCAGCUUAAAUGUUGAUUUACUCUUUCAAAACAACUUGUUUGUCCCAGGGAUUUAGUAAUUACAGGUAACUAACAGCUUUUGAAGAAGGGACGCUGCGGCGCUAGUUUAAAUUCAUAUUUUGACAUCAUAUUGUAAUUGGUUUUGAACAUGUACCUUUUUACAAUGUAAACUUUCAAUUAUAUAUAUGAUGGUUGUAUUGCUUUCUUUACUAUGUAUUCAUUUGUUACGUUACCACAUGAAGUCAUCCGCCCCCGAACGUUUCCGCCGUUCCGGUUCGGGGGUGUGAUAGAUUGGUAUCAGAGCAAUGUUUAUAGUGAAAUAAGUAUAUCGAACCACAUAAGAUAUACAAACUAUAAAUGCUUAAGGAACUAAUACUCUCUGACAAAACAUUCCUCUUUUGUUUUACGCCUAAGCCGCGUUACAUUUAACUUAAAUUGUUAGUUCAUUUAAGUACAAAUACAUGCAUACAACAAAUUAUUUUCAUGAUUAUUAACUAUACAACAAGUAUUUAGACAAGUUGGACACUAUGAUUAAAAUUCCUCGAUAUACAUUGGUCCGAUCUCGGGCAAAUAUAGUUGAUCACGCUAUAUUUGUCCCAAAUCUGAUUACAUAUAUCGAGUUUUAAUCAUAGUGUCCAACUUGUCUAAACUUACCAAAAACAUCACGAGGAUCAAACACAAGAAUUUAAAUACUAUAGGAGUAUUUACUACAUAAACUAGUUUAACUUACAUGUUUAGUCUUUCAUGUUUCAACUUUAUUCAAUUCUUAUAACCCUAUUCUCGUACAGUCAAAUGGCUGGAUUUCAUCACCCCGGCGACCCCUACUAUCCCAACCAAGGCAACGGGGGAUGGAUCGAAGAUGAUCCCGAGGAGGACGAAGAACCCAUAGAAUUGGAUGAUGACUCCGGUACCGACUCAGAGCCGGAAGUGAUCAACCCACCACCCGCACAACCUCCCGUCUUCGUAAGGAACUUUCAAGGACCGACUCCCGUCUGGGGAAGUCACCUCCACCACUGGAGCCAACAACAAAACCUACGCCCUCCCUAUGGAAUGUGUCGAGAUUUCUACGAUGUCCGCGGUGGAGGUUCAGCUGAUCGGGCACUCCCAGUAAUGGUGGGAAAACUAGCCAAUCAGUCCUAUCAAGCCGGAGUUCAAGCUAGCCGGAUUCGGGAUGUCAACGUGGAAGUACAGGUUCACACUUCCAACAUCCAUAGGCUGGACAAAAUUCAGGACAAUGCCCAACUUCAAAUCGAGGCAUUCCAAGCGCAAAUGAUUGCAGCCCUCACCGAAUUAAGGGAACAACAAGCUGCCUUGGAUAGGCGUCUAAUGGAGUCAAAGCAAUCGGAUGCGGAGUCAAGCUCCAAGCGCAACCUACGUCGCAAGUAGUUCUUGCCAAAAUCUCAAAUUUUGUUAUAAGUUAGAACCUCGGCUAAAAGUUUUUAAAUUUCUUAAACUUUGUAACCAGAGACCCUUAUAGGGGUCAAAUUUUCGUGAUCGUUGUAUCAACUAUUAUAUUAAUAUAAGUGACACUAUUAUUACUACAUUGAUUAUUUCAUUCAAUCCUUAAAAGGUUAUGGAGAAACCAAAUGAUUGCUUCAUGUUUUCAAUCUUACAAAUAACUUUCAUUUUUCUAUUUUGAGACUCAUACUAUCAUCUGUUGUUGAACUAUAGCAAUUUAGUUCAUGAAACACAUACAUUUUCUAUUCUAUGGAAUUCUUAUCUUUAUCUUUUCAACCUAUAGUUGAAGGAUGCCUCCACGUAGGAACCUGAGACGAAACAACAGUGGAGAAGCACCUAUACCACCACCACCUCCACCUCCUUAAUUUGAUGUUGCCAUGUUUCAAGCACCAGUCACAGUAGCUGNCGCCUGCCAUGUCACAAAUCAAUACCCCUAUUACAACAGGUUUAGGAAUUGGCACGCCUCCUUCCAACCAUGGCGAGAGUCAUGGACAACCCCGAGAGUGCACCUAUAAAGAAUUUACGAAUGCCAAACCUCGGAUGUUUAAUGGGACCGGUGGUGUGAUGAUUUUGAGGUAGUGGAUUGAAAGGACAGAGUUAGUCUUCGAAAUCUGCUCCUGUCCCGAACACAGCAAAGUUAAGUUUGCCACCUUCACACUUACUGAUAGAGCUUUAACUUGGUGGAAUGGCCACGUUAAGGUACUUACUCUGAUAGUGGCAAAUUCCGUAAGCUGAGAGAGCUUAAAAAUAAUGCUGAUGAGAGAAUAUUGUCCACGAGGAGAGAUUCAAAAACUCGAAAACGAACUCUGGACUCUUGGAAUGGUUGGUACCGACAUAGCAACUUAUACCAACCGAUUCUGCGAUCUGGCAAUCCUUUGCCCAGAUAUGAUUGCUCCUGAGAGCAAGAAAAUAGAGAGGUACAUUUGGGGACUGUCGCCCCAAAUACGGUCGAGCGUGUUAGCUUCAAAACCUGACACUUUUGAAAGUGCCUAGGAACUGACACAAUCUCUUGUUGACUACGGAGGUCAUCAGAACUCAACAGUUUUUGCACCAGAACCACAGAAGGGAAACAACAACAACAAUAACAGGAAGAGAGUAUGGAAUAAAGGGAAGGGUGGGUCUUCCCAAGAAUCCGCGAAGAAACAACUGGUUUCAGUGAAUGUUGCCACUGUACCUACUACCGUUCCUACAAAUCCCUACCCAACAAAGACUUAUGGGGGUAACCUUCCAAAGUGCACCAAAUGCACUUACCACCAUCAUGGACCUUGUCGGGAAAUGCAGUGCUCCAACUGCAACAGAAAAGGACACACUGUCCGUUUCUGCAAGGAUCCCGCAAAUCCGAUCACUCAAGUUCCCAAUGCGGGUGUAGGCCAAACUUGCUAUGGUUGUGGUGAGGCGGGCCACUACAAGAGGAACUGCCCAAAGGCAGUAGGCACCGGCUGAGUGGGACGGGUUUUGGCUAUAGGCCACGAUGAAGCCGUAGCUGAUCCAACUGUAGUUGCUAGUACGUUCCUUCUCGAUAAUUCAUAUGCAUGCAUACUAUUCAAUAGUGGAGCGGAGAGAAGCUUCGUGAGUCAAAACUUUAUUCACCUACUUAAACGUAAACCUAGCAAGUUAGAAAAAUCAUUCACUAUAGAAAUGGCAAACGGAUUAACAGAAAACACUAACUGCAUAUACAAGGGUUGUACAUUAACUUUAGACAGUCAUUCUUUCUCAAUCAACCUCAUGCCAGUCCAAAUUAAAAGUUUCGACGUCAUAGUCGGCAUGGAUUGGUUAAGUCUUCUUCGCGUCGACAUCAUGUGCUUUGAGAAAGCAGUUCAUCUUAAUCUCCCUAACGACGAAACAAUAGUGAUUUACGGCGACAAAUCAAGUACAAACCUUCGCAUCAUUUCGUGCAUCCAAGCUCGAAAGUGUUUACGGAAGGAUUGUCAAGCAUUCCUUGCACACAUCGUCGAUACAAGUCAGGAACUGAAGGACAUCAAGAACAUUCCAGAAGUACGCGACUUUCCCGAUAUCUUUCCAGAAGAACUACCGGGAUUACCACCACAACGCCAAGUCGAGUUCAGAAUCGACUUAGUUCCAGGGGCUACCCCAGUAGCGAAAUCGCCUUAUCGUCUGGCACCAACAGAGAUGCAAGAACUUUCCAGUCAGCUUAACGAACUCCAUCAAAAAGGAUUCAUUAGACCAAGUUUCUCACCUUGGGGAGCACCGGUCUUGUUUGUAAAGAAGAAAGACGGAUCGUUCCGCAUGUGCAUCGACUACAGAGAACUGAACAAACUUACUGUCAAAAAUCGUUAUCCUCUACCCCGCAUUGACGACCUAUUUAAUCAAAUUCAAGGAGAAAACUACUUCUCGAAGAUAGACCUACGAUCCAGAUAUCACCAAUUACGAGUAUUAGAGGAGGAUAUUCCCAAGACAGCCUCCCGAACCCGUUACGGACACUAUGAGUUUGUAGUGAUGCCAUUCGGAUUAACCAACGCACCAGCAGUAUUCAUGGACCUAAUGAAUAAGGUGUGCCAUCCUUACUUGGAUCAGUUUGUCAUCGUCUUCAUCGAUGAUAUACUUAUCUACUCCCAAAGUAAGGAAGAGCAUAGUCAGCACCUACGAAAAGUCUUAGAAACAUUGCGAACGGAGAAACUCUAUGCGAAGUUCUCUAAAUGCGAAUUUUGGAUUCGAAGAGUCGAAUUUUUGGGCCACGUUGUUAGCGAGAAGGGGAUACACGUGGACCCCUCCAAAAUUAAGGCCAUUGAGAACUGGUCGGCACCAAAGACACCUACAGAGAUUCGUCAAUUUCUAGGUCUCGCUGGCUACUAUCGCAGAUUCAUAAAGAACUUCUCUAGCAUUGCGAAACCUCUUACUACAUUAACCCAGAAAGGCGUGGCCUUUGACUGGGAAGCGAAACAAGAGAAGGCGUUCCAAACACUGAAACAGGCCUUGUGCACCGCACCGAUACUAUCCCUUCCCGAAGGGAUAGAAGAUUUUGUAGUGUAUUGCGAUGCAUCAAACCAAGGACUUGGUUGUGUUCUUAUGCAGAGAGGGAAGGUUAUUGCUUAUGCCUCCCGACAGCUUAAGACACACGAAGUGAACUAUACGACACACGAUCUUGAGUUAGGAGCAGUGGUAUUUGCUCUGAAGAUCUGGAGACACUACUUAUACGGAACAAAGAGUACUAUUUUCACCGAUCACAAGAGCCUUCAACACAUUUUCGAUCAGAAGGAACUCAACAUGCGACAACGACGAUGGGUUGAGUUACUAAAUGACUACGAAUGCGAAAUUCGUUAUCAUCCUGGCAAGGCCAACGUAGUAGCUGACGCCCUCAGUCGAAAGGAAUACACUGGUCGGAGGGUCAAAUCUCUGACUAUGACUAUCCAUUCCCACUUAUCCACACAAAUUAAGGAGGCACAAAUGGAAGCUUUGCAACCUGAAAAUGUGGCGGGUGAAUCCCUGCGAGGAAUGGAAAAGAAUCUAGAAGUCAAGGGUGGCGGAGCCUACUAUCUCAUGGACCGAAUCUGGACCCCGAAACAUGGUGGUUUCAGAAACGUAGUCAUGACCGAAGCUCACAACUCAAGAUAUUCCGUUCACCCGGGUUCAGAUAAAAUGUAUCUGGAUCUUAAGAAACUGUACUGGUGGCCUAACAUGAAAGCAGAAAUUGCUACCUUCGUAAGUAAAUGUCUUACUUGCGCUAAGGUUAAGGUCGAGUAUCAGAAACCGUCAGGAUUACUACAACAACCAGAGAUACCAGAAUGGAAAUGGGAGCGGAUUACUAUGGACUUCAUAACCAAGUUACCCAAGACGACAAGUGGACUCGAUACCAUAUGGGUCAUUGUCGACAGAUUGACCAAAUCCGCGCAUUUCCUACCCAUCAAGGAGACUGACAAAAUGGAGAAGCUUACAAGAACUUACUUAAGGGAAGUAGUGCGACUGCAUGGUGUUCCGAUAUCCAUUAUCUCCGAUCGAGAUAGUAGAUUCACUUCAAGAUUCUGGCAGUCACUACAAAGUUCCCUGGGAACUAGGCUAGACAUGAGUACAGCCUACCACCCACAGACAGACGGACAAAGUGAGAGAACAAUACAAACUUUAGAAGACAUGCUGAGAGCCUGCGUGAUUGACUUUGGAAAGGCAUGGGAUAUUCAUUUACCCCUUGUCGAAUUUUCAUACAACAAUAGUUAUCAUACAAGCAUAAAGGCUGCUCCGUUUGAAGCCCUCUAUGGUCGAAAGUGCAGAUCCCCUCUGUGCUGGACUGAAGUUGGCGAUACCCAGUUAGCUAGAGGAAGAGUUCCUGAAAGCACUCUCACCGGUCCGGAGAUCAUACGUGAAACAACAGAGAAGAUCGUUCAGAUUCGUGAACGAUUGAAAGCCUCAAGAGACCGACAGAAAAGCUACGCUGACCAAAGGAGGAAACCUUUGGAAUUCCAGGUAGGAGACCACGUCUUAUUAAAGGUCUCACCGUGGAAGGGUUUAAUACGAUUUGGAAAGCGUGGGAAACUAAAUCCAAGAUACAUAGGGCCUUUCGAGAUUCUUGCCAGAAUCGGCCCUGUGGCUUACAAGCUUAACCUACCGCGCGAACUUAGUAACAUCCAUCCAACCUUCCACGUCUCAAACUUGAAAAAGUGUCUGUCCGACGAGACUCUUGUUAUUCCACUCGACGAGAUCGAGAUCAACGAGAGCCUCAACUUUGUGGAAGAACCAGUAGAAAUCAUGGACCGAGAGGUCAAACAAACAAAACAAAGUCGCAUACCCAUCGUGAAGGUUCGCUGGAAUGCCAAGCUAAGGACCUGAAUUCACAUGGGAACGCAAAGAUCAGAUGAAACAAAAGUACCUUCAUCUCUUUCAUGUUCACUAGUAUCUUUACUACUUUAAAUUUCGGGACGAAAUUCUCUCUAACGGGGGGAUGAUGUGACAACCCGAUAUUUCAACUCUUUGUAACNAAUGACCUAAAAAGUCAAGUAUUGUAACCACUUUUGAGAUAAUGAAAUUAACUUCGAAAAUAAAAUUUCCAAAAAGUUUCUAUUUAAUUAGCUACUAUGUUUGAUGUCAUUAAACCGUGAUCAUACGUAAAAAGAACACCCAAAUCCGACUUCAUAUAUUGAAGUUAUGAUUUUUCCAAGUUCGGCUUAGCAACAGACAGCUAAAAACUCGAAUCGGAGAUCGAGCGACUUUUGGCCGGAAUGACCUAAACGAGAAUCGAAGGUCUCGACAAUGGUAUUCCAGCGGUAAAAAGUCUGGCAAAAACCGACAUCAGAUAAAGAAGUUAUGAAUUUUCAAAGAAAUUCCUUAAACACGAUGGGUUUUUAAUAAAUAAUAAAAAUAUAAUUUUGGAAUUUGCCGACGGAGUCUAAACGAAAGUUGUAGAGCGUAGUCUCACCUACGCGAGGAUAUAAAGACCAUCGAAAACGGAGUUCGUAUGAAGAAGAUAUGAAUUUUAGAAGUAUAUUAAUUAAAUAAAAUAUAAGUUUUAUUAUUAAACCUUGGUAUUAUCCGAAGGAAGAGUCAACAAGUCUAUCCGAGUUACACCCAGCGUACAGGCGUAUGCCCAGCGUACUCAAGGGCUAGGCUUCAGAUCGUCCACGCCGCGCCCUAUGCGAAGCUACGCCCCAUCCCAUCUGAACUCCGAGGCAGUCGAGGAUCCGGUCAUGCGUGACGCACGCGUACGCCCAGCGUACCGAGGCAGUUCCCACCCCACUAUAAAAGGGAUGUGAGGGUUCCCAAUAAAAGGGCCAUUCUCUCUCAUUUCUCUUGCGUUGUUGCCUCGUUUUCCGUGCCUGUGCUAACCCGAAGCCCCGAUCAUUUUGCUCAAGUCCCGUAGGUCGUUGGUACUCCCGAGAAUCCCGAGAAAAUCCGUUUUCUCGAGAAGAAAUUCUGCCCGGUUUUCAUCACGCUUUUUCCGAUCUUUCAAGUGAGUUCAUACCCUUAUAAUCCACACUUUUAAAUGUUUAUAAAUACUUUUAUAUGCUUUUAAGGGGGGAAUACAAGUAAAACACACGAUUAUUAUCGUGUGUUAUAUAUAAAGUUUCAUUAUACACUUUUAUCAACGGAAUCAUAUGUGAUUUAUAACUAUUAUAGGGAAACUUUCGUAUGCAAAAUAUAUCACGAUAACAUCAUAUUUUUGGAAAUGAAAAAUGUGGUUAUAUAUGUAUAUGUGUUCAUAUUGGUACUAUAUAAAUUAUAACUUUUCAUAACAAGUGAGCAUUUUUACUAGCGAUUACUAUACAAACGAGACACACUUUUAGAAAACUAUAAUAGGUAUAGUUUUACGAGAACAUUACGAACUUUUGCAUACUAGAAACACUAUUUCAAGAAGUUUACUUUCACAUACAAGAACUAAUGAACAUUUUCAUACGUAAAUCAGUUUUAUACUAAAUUUUGUGAGACAUUAACUUCAUGUACGUUCGAGUACGCAUUUCAAGUCCUGUAUUAUAUACCAGAAUCCCUUGGAGGGGGAGCAUGGUGUUUGUGUAUAGAUCUAUACGGGCUUGACAACCCGCGCCCUGACUGUUAGCUACAGUCCACCAUUUGGGGUGACAAACGUCAGAACAUUCCAACGCCUGAAGAACGUUGUGUAUAGGCAUUUCUAGUCAAUAGCAUGGUUAUAAAACUCACAUGGAGUAUUGAAAACACAUUGAUUUACGGGGUUUUUCAGACGUAUUGGAAAUUUUAUACUUACAUACAUUUUUAGAAACAAACAUUGGUCUUGAUAGAAGGCUACAUUUAUACUAGUAGAAAAUAUAGGAUUUUCUAGAAGCAAACAAACAAGAACAAAACAUUUGAUUUCAUACAAACAUUGUCAUUUAAUACUUAUGAAACUCACCAGCUUAAAUGCUGAUCUACUCUUUCAAAACUACUUGUUUGUCCCAGGGAUUCAGUAAUUACAGGUAACUAACAGCUUUUGAAGAAGGGACGCUGUGGCGCUAGUUUAAAUUCAUAUUUUGGCAUCAUAUUGUAAUUGGUUUUGAACAUGUACCUUUUUACAAUGUAAACUUUCAAUUAUAUAUAUGAUGGUUGUAUUGCUUUCUUUACUAUGUAUUCAUUUGUUACGUUACCACAUGAAGUCAUCCGCCCCCGAACGUUUCUGCCGUUCCGGUUUGGGGGUGUGACACUUUUUCUUGUAAAAUAAUAGAGUCUGCUUUCACAAAAUCCAAUAUUUUCUUUAAAAAUGAGCUGUAAGUCUUAAACCCAAGACCAAAAAUGUAAGUUGUGCUGUACUUGAAAAUAGUAUUAUGAAGUUUUAUCUUUAUAUAAAUCUAAUUAAAUGUAUAUUAACCCCGUAAACUAAAUGUAUUGUUAUCACCCCAUAUUAUAACCUUUCUAGCAACUAGUGGCAUGCUAUGACGUUCUUCAGGCAUUGGAAUGUUAGACAUUUGUUACCCUAGACCUGCCGGUCUAACUGUAGCUAACAACUUGGGUGCGGGGUUUUUAGUCCCGUAUAGAUCUAUACACAAGUUUCACACUCUCUUACCGAGACUCUGCUUAAAAUUCAGGAACUUUAGUAUAUACUCAAGUAGGUACGGUGAAGGCAUGUCUUACAAAAUUAUAUUAACCGGUUUACGUCUAGUGUAAUGAAAACCCUUUUUCUUGUAAAUGAAAGUAUUACCCUUCCAUAGUGGUUACAUAGUGUUUAAAUAAUUAUAUGUUUCAUCCGAAAUUAUAAAGUAGUAUUUGUGACCCCCAAACUAUACCAAUUAUAGCUUAUUAUGAUUUUUUUGUUAAGUCUAUUUAUAUAAUCAUUUAUAUAUACGUAAUAGUUAUCUUGUCUAGAUGUUUUUAAAAGAUUAUAUCAUAUAAACUUACAUCUAACACAAGUAUGAGAAAUUGGUAUGAAAAAAUCCAUUUCUAGCUUUUGCCCCUUUUUAAGGAUAUUUACCGGUAACAAAAACAAAUAUAAGUUGGUAAAACUUACUUUUACCCUUCUUGGGGUUUUUACUCAAGUUAACUUUAUGUGUUUUUAAAACCAUAUAUUUCUAGUUAAAUCCCACAAAAUGAUGUCGUAAACUUGUUAUAACCACUUUUGUUUAAAAAUCAUUUUUUACAUGAAAUACUAGAUUUUUGAGUUUUCUUUUUGUGUAGCUAACACUUUGGUAUUUUUGUCUAGUUUCAAAAUGUAUGGUCAAAACAACAUAUUUUGGGUUAUAUCCACCAAAAAUGGUGAAAUAACUAUAAUCUAACCAUUUUUGCUAGAAAAACCAUAUCUUGACCAUAAAAGUCUUAAAAUCCUUGUAGCUUUGUGGUUUUAACCCUUUUCUAAAGAACAUAUAACAUAGUUUAUGUUUGUUUUUCUUAUUUUUAUAUCAUUAACCAACAUAACACAAAUAAAUGUUCUAAAAACAAUUAACAACCACAUUUCAUGAAGAAAUUUUUUUUAAACACAACAUAGAUUUGAAGCAUGCAAACAUUUGUGUUAUAAAUCAAACUUUUCUUGUAUUCCCCCCCCCCCCCUCCCCCCUUAAAACAUGAAAAAAUAAAAAAUAUGGGGGUAUGAGCUCACAUGUAGUGUGUUUGUAUUUGGAUAAAGAGGUGAUGGUGAAUAUCAUCAAGCUUAGAACACUUGAAGGUGGUUGAAGAACUCUUUGAAGAUGGUAUUAUCCUAUGGGUUUUAACACAUGAUAAUGUGUGUAAAUGCGAUGAAAUUAGCAUGAAAGUGUGUAGAAACACUAGAUUAACAAGGAAUACUAACCAAAAAUCCUAAGAACCAACUUGAAGAAUUAAUCCUUGAAUAGUUUGAAAUUGUUUCUUUGAGAGAAAAGGGAAGAAGUUUGAAGAUGGUGGGGGUUGGAGGAUCCCUCGGCCGCAACUAAGAAGAGAGGGGGGAGAGGGUGGGAGGGGUGGGUAAGGUGAGGUGAUGUUUGCAUUGUUGUUUUUGGGAUAAUAGCCUUGAUACUUAUUGGUUAAUGUUUUGUGUUAGAAAGGAUGCACACUCAUGUCACUAAGUCAACUCUUCCAUUUUUUUAUAAAAAGUUGGACUUUUAUAAAAAAAAGUCCAACCCAACUGAAAACAUCAAAUUAUUAAAAUAAAAAUGUGUAACUACUUAAUUUGAAUCACAACAAUUCAAAUUAUUAAAAAGGGAUCAUUAUUAAUAAAGAUAAUAGCAAAAUGUGUUGAAUAUAUUAAUGCCUAAUUACUAAAGCCCAACCCAACUGAAAACAUCAUUAAACCCACCGAAAUCACAUUGUGAUUUCGGUCCAUGUACCACUGAGAUCAUAGAGUUCUCGGUCCUAAACUGAGAACUUUAAAAGCAAGGUAUAAACCACAAAUUUAUGUCCUAACAAGUUGAAUUUCGUUGGCUUGUUUGACUUUUGAUGUCUUGUUGACUUUGAUUGACCCAGAAUUGCCAGUUUUCACAAAGGCUCUUAUGGUCAGUGAAGACAAUGCACUUUGUCCCAUACAUGUAGUGUCUCCAAAUCUUCAAGGCAAACACUACAACUCCCAGCUCUAAUUCAUGGGUAGUGUAGUUCGUCUCGUUUGGCUUCAGUUGUCGGGAUGCAUACACAAUAACCUUAUUUCUCUAUAUUAGUACGCAUCCUAAACCAUGAUGUAAGGCAUCAAAAUAUACUACAACGUCUUAUGUUCCCUUGAGAUGAGACAAAAUCAAUGCACUGCACAAUAGUUGCUUCAAUUUUCAGAAGGCAAACACUUAAUUGUCUCCCUAAUCAAACUUUUUGUCUUUCUGGGCUAGUGCGGUGAGAGGAUUGGCUAUCUUGAAAAAGUUCUCGAUGAAUCUCCAACAAUAGCGAGCAAGCCCUAAGAAUUGGCGUACUUCGGUUGGUGUUGUUGGUGCUUUCCAAUUCUUGAUUACUUCAAUCACCGUGGGAUCGACAUGAAUCUCUUUACUACUGACCACAUGAUCUAGGAAAUAAACUUCGUUAAUCUAGAACUCACAUUUAGAAAACUUUGCAUUAAGUUUCUCUUUUCUUAACAGUUCCAUAAUUAAACCCAUGUGAUGGCCAUGUUCUUCCUUGGUUCGUUAGUAUAUCAAUAUGUCAUCGAUGAAUAUAAUCACGGAUUUAUCCAAUUAGGGUUUACACAUCCGAUUCAUAAGGUCCAUGAAUACGGCUGGUGCGUUGGUCAGUCAAAAUGGCGUAACUAGAAACUCAUAGUGACUAUAUCUACUUCGGAAUGACGUCUUCAGAAUAUUUGCUUCUUGAACUCUAAGUUGAUGAUAAUUGGAUCAUAGAUCGAUCUUUGAGUAGUAGUAGGAUCCUUGCAGUUGGUUGAACAGUUCAUCGAUCCUCGGAAGUGGAUACCGAUUCUUGAUAGUAAGUUUGUUCAACUCCCGAUAGUCGAUUCAUUUAACGCCCAUAGAUUCGGGCUAGUCAAUUUAGAGACAAUAAGCAUCAAAAAUGACCGUUUUAUAGAAGAUUAUUUAGAAUAAAUAAUCUUAAAAAAAUUAGAGUAUAUGUCACAAGGGUUCCGUACAUAUAAAGAACGAUGAAAUCCGAGUUAUAACGAAGAAGUUAUGACCUGUCAAAGUUAUACGACAAAACCGACAUGACACCGGGAAUCAUAACAAGUGAAUUUGCAAUAAAUUAAUUUUUAGCCUUAGAGAUCUAACUAAAAAUUGUAGUAUAUGUUAAACUGAGAACGUACAUAAAAAGAACGUCCAAAUUUGACUUUGUAUGAGGAAGUUAUGAUUUUUCUAAGAUUUAGUAUAGCAGUGCACAACCCGGAAAUUGAAUUUUAGGUUGAUCGAUUUUUAGCCGAAGUUAUGAAAUUCUAAUGAAUUUUUGUAACAACCCGAAGUUUUCCAUCGUCGAAAACCCGUUCUACCCGUAAAAAUUCGCCGUUUGUCAAUCGUUCCGUUUUCGUUUUGGGUUAAAUUAUUUAAAUUUAAAUGUUUAUUAUAAAUCCAAUGAGUGUCCAAAUCCCUUAGGAACUCAUGAAAUUAGCCCAAAAUAUGUAUUUCAUAAAUAUUAGAAACGUCCCCGUCGGGUCUCGGAAACUUAAUCGGGUGCGACCAAAAGCCCUGUUUACUGCCGGUAUCGGGUAGAAUUCCACCGUAUCCAAGUUUUAGGACCUAUAUAAACGUGUUUAAACAUCCAUUUGAAGCUUUUUCUUCCUCUCUCUACUCUCUCUCUAACCGCUCUCCUAAAUCCAAGUUUAAGGGUCCAAGUCAUCAAUUUUAGGCUCUAAAUCUUUGAGGUACCUUCCUUAACUUGUUAUGUAACCUCUCUAGCCUUCAAAUUUGAGUUUAAACAAUGGAUUAGGACCAUUAUCAAGAGUUUAUGGCCCUAGAGCAGUCCUAGGCCGUAAACUCAAGAAAAUGGGGUUUUUGGAGCAACAAAACCCUUCCAAACCACAAUUGGACCUUAGAUAUGGCUAGAUGACUUUAUGGAAUGGACCUAGAAUGCCUUAAACUAUAGUUUAAAGCCUUGUAUAUGAUUUUAUGGCCAUGGAUGGUGUUUAGGCCAUAAACCCAUAAUUAUAGGGUUUUUAAGCCCUUAAACCCUUCCUAGACCCCAACAAGACAUGGAUAUGACUUUUAGAAUAUUGGUUUUAGCCUUAGAACACUUUAAACAUAAAUUUUGGGGGAUUGAUAUGAGUUUACGGCCAAGGCAUGUGCUUGGGCCGUAAACUCCUCAACCAAGGGUGUAAACUCAUUUUCAAGGUGUUAGAAAGCCAUCCAACACCACCAAAAUCCUUGGAAUAAAUCAUAGAACCAACCAAAAAUAGUUUAGGGGCUUUAAACACAACCAAACUCAUCAUUUGAGAGUUUACGGCCAUUUCAUGUGUUCCAUGGCCGUAAACUCCUAAAAACAUGUCAAAAGUCCCUUAAAACUUCAUGAAAGGCCUUGGAACAAUUUUAGGAAUCACAUGUGAUUGAUUUGGAAGCAUUAAAAACAUUUAUUCAAGGGUGCAUAGGAGUUUACGGCCGUAAGCUCCAUGAUAAGGCCGUAAACUCCCUUAAGUGUUGUCUUUUGGUGUUUUAAAUUAAUUCCAAGCCUUAAAUCAAACCCUAGAAAUUUUCCCCUAAGUGUUUCAAGCCAAUUUGCACCAUAAACCACCCCACCAUGAGUUUACGGCCGUAAACUCAUGGGGAAUGGGUGUUAUGGCCGAAAACUCUUAUAUGAGUUUACUCUUGGGGAGUAAACUCAAAUUCCAAGUCCCUAGUGCCAUUACACGUCCUUUAACGCCACCCGGGUCCCUCCAAACACUUUCAAUGGGGUGUUUCCGCGACUAAAAGUGUUCGUCCCUAACAGUUAAAUAUUCUAAUUCCUAAUUAGAUACAAAUGUGUAUCUUUUCAUUAUACAUAGGAACCUCAUGCAUUUGCAAGCCCCGAACCAACGUUUAACAUCCUAAAUCGUCACGUUUCUCUACCAGUGAGUUCAUACCCCUACCCUUUUUCAAUGUUUUCAUUGUUUUCAGGGGGAAUACAAGCAAACUAUAAUUGUUUUCGAAUCAUAACAUUGAUGUGUUUUAAAUAUUAUCUAGCAAACUUAUAAACACUUUUACCCCUUAUGUAUUAUGCUGAGCAUAAGGGAUGAUUUAUCAAUUACAACUAAAUGGAUUUUAGUUAAGAAAAUAACCAAACUAAUCAAAUUAUUAUGGGAAUAAUUUAGGGAUUUCUUUAGUGUUCGUUUUAUCAUGUACUAAUAUCUAUAUAAAGUUAUUAGAUAAACUAUGUCUGAUUCAGCUUAUCUCCGUAUCAUUUGAAUGUAUUGCCAGAUAGUUUCAUUGUAUGUACCUAUGUUCACUAUAUUAUGUUUCAUAAUCUUUUGUAUGUUUGAUAUCGUAUGAGAACCCUAUGAAUAGUUUAGUACUAGUUUGUGAGUUAGUCACUACCCUUUAUGGAUGAUUAGUAAAUCCUCCCCGGAAGUGUAACCAGAGUCUCCUGGAGGGAGAGCGAGGAAUUUGUGAAUAGAUCUAUUCGGGACUGACAAUCCCACACCUUAACUGCUAGCUACAGUUAGGCAGGCACGCCUGGGGUGACAAAUUCUGGAUAUCGUCCGACGUCUGACAAGCAUCAAGGAGGUCUCGUUGUCAUAUCAUCAUGGUUACCCGACUCACAAUAUGUAUUAAUAUAAGUUUAUUCACAGUAUCGCUUUGGGUUUGGUUUUGACUUUGAUUCGAUUUCAUAUCUACUUUCUAUCUAUAGUUUCCAUAUCUAGUACGGGAUAGUAGUCCCAUGAUUUCAAUCUAUAUCUUGUACGGGAUCGUAAUCCCAUGGUUUUGAAACUAUAUCUAGUACGAGAUGAUAAUCCGAAUCUAUAUCUAGUUCGGGAUAGUAAUCCCAUGGCUUUAUCCAUCUAUCUUAUAUCUAGUUCGGGAUAGUGAUCCCAUGGUUUUAUCAAACAAUCUUAUAUCUAGUUCGGGAUAGUAGUCCCAUGGUUCUCAAUCUAUAUUUUCAAGUAUAUCAAACUAUAUUGUAUUUAGUUCGGGAUGUUAGUCCCAAAGUUUUCAAACUACUUUCUAUCUACAGUUCGUGUAUAUUAAAGUAUUUCAUAUCUAAUUCGGGAUAGAAAUCCCAUGAUUCUCAAUAUAUAGUUUUGUGUAUUAAACUAUACUCUGUGUUAUUCAAUCAAUCUUGCAUAUAGGAAAAUAUGGAUUUUCCUAAGGUUAACAUAUAACGCGUAAUUGAACUGUAAUGAAAGAUAACUAAACUGUUUAACAUAAGAAAAUAUAGGAUUUUCUUGGAUAACAAACCUUUUCGGAAAACUAAAGGAAAUUGGUACAUUUUCAGAAAAUAAACAUCUUAUGAACUCACCAGCUUUAUGCUGAUUUUUAAACUGCUUGUAUUCUCAGGUCCACAUUAGACAGGUACCCGGUGAUCUCUUUUGGUGAAGACGGAGUGCGUGGAAGACUCGUCUCGUUUUGUUCAUAUGAUAUAUGUAUAACUCUUGUACAAUUUACUUUUGAACCAAAUGUAAACUUUCAAAUAUAUGUAAUGUAAUGGUUGUUUACUGUGAUUACUAUGUACAUUGGAUUUGAUACUCAACUUGGAGUCAACCCCGGAAAUGUUUCCGCCUUUGAUUUUCGGGGUUUGACAAUUUUAACUAUCUAAGUUUGUUAAAAUAUAACUUUGAAAAUAAAGUCAAAAUUAGUCGAUGGAGUCUAAAAAAAAGUUCUAGAUCCCUUCGAUACCUACGCGUGGAUAUAACGAAUGUAAAAAACGGAGCUCGUAUGCAAAAGUUUCGAAUUUUAGAAGAUAAUUAGUUUUUGAAGUAACCAGCGAGCGACACAUGGCGUGAUCUGAGCCACUGCUUCCUCAUCAUGAUUUGGCACCUGAAGAUGACACCUGGCCACAAGCGCCCAACGUUCAGCAAGGAAACACCGCACGUUCGCACCGGACUCAGCUUAUAAAUAGAAGCGCAAAUCACCCCAAAAACUCACACCUUUCCCAUUCUUUCUCUCUCAAACACCCCUCUUAGCUCCUCACAUUCCCUAAUACUUCCUAGGUGCUAGAGGCGAGUCCCGGAGCACCAGAAGGCUCCGAGAAGAGGAGCUUUUGGAUCGGAAGUUAUGCCCCCGCAGAGCCCGGUUCCUAGCCAAUAUUGUUAUUAUGAACUUAUAAACAAUAUAUAUAUAUAUAUAUAUAUAUAUAUAUAUUAUAAAAUACAAUAUACAAAUUGUUAUUAUAAUAUCUUUUAACUACUUGUGGUACGAGGAAUCUGGUGUGAAGGGACCCAUAGGGUUGUUGGUUCUCAGAAGUGAUAUAAUGCCAAAAUGAUCCUGCUCUCCGGUGUUUCAUGUCUGACCUUGUUUGUACAUAGUGGUUGAAAGGUAUUUUUUAACAUUUAUAAAACAAUAUCGCUCGUAAAUAGUCGCGAUUAAUAUUAGACUAAAAUCUAGCGGUAAUGAUACUAGGUUUCGUCAAAGGAAAAUAUAAUUGUUAUAAGCGAAGUGCUGCCCGAGUUUGGAAUCAUCACUUUAACAAGUGAGUGCAUAGUUACUUUCAUCUUACACAUAAAUAUGAAAUAUUUACUAUCAAUUACGUGCUAUGUGUGCAUAUUAUCUGUGUUCUUGAUAUCUAUGCUGGAUGAACAAAAUAUACAUGCUUUAUAUGAUUUAAAGUGUAUACGUAUUUUAUACUUAUAACUAUGAUGGGUAAAGAUGGGUAGAUUAAAGAUGAGAUGAGAUGAGAGAUCACUACUAGAAAAAUAGACUUUUAAGACGCGCAAUCCACGACACUCAGUGAUUUAUGUUACGCAAAAGGGAGUGACUUUAAAAUGGUGUCGUCUCUUCAAAAAAUUUAAGCGUUUAGGUCACGCAUUAUUGCGUGCCCUUAGAUUAGUGUCUCAAAGAAAAAAAUCAAAAACACGGAGGGCACAUGUGUGUCAUCUAAGGAUGUCGCUUUAUAAAUUUUAACGGAAGCGCGCGUUCCAUCCUUUAAUAGCAGGGGUAAUGAAAUCCUAAAAAAUGAAAAACCCCGCAUUUCAUCCAUCUUUUAGACAUGUAAACCCUAGACCUCAUUUGCAGGUUUUGUUCUAUCAAGUUGUUUCUGUUUGGGAAGGAAUAACGAAUUUGUCCUCUCCACCAGCUAACAACCUUCGCUCUCUACUUCUCCUUUUGUCUGUAAACCCUAGAUCUCAUUAUGCGGCUGUAACUCUUUCUCCCUUUCAUAUUUUUGGAGUGUGCGCACGUCGCUUUAUAUAUAUAUGUAUUUUUUCAUAGAUACGCGUUUCAGAAGCUCGCGGGGGAAAUGAAAUUCCAAAAUUUUGAAAAUCCGACAUAUUCUCCUCUACCUUCUUUCAAUCUUUCUUCUCUCUCUCACACACACAAUCAAAUACCAAAAUUACCUUCAAUCGGUUCCGGUUCUUAGUGAAAUCCAAGGUUUUUUGGUCACCAGGCCAUGAAAUUGAAAUCAAAGGGGUACAGUUGUUGGAACCACGACUACUGUUGGAACUAGGGUUUCGGUUCAUAAACCCUCCAUUUACUUCUCUUGAUCUUUAGUUCCUCAAGAUAAACAGAUGAAGGACCUCUCGAGAGCCAUGAAAGAGCUACUCAAUCAUAUGCCACAAUCUAUUGAGAAGAUGAUACAACGAUCCCAAGAAUCUCAAGGAAAGCAACACCAAUAGGAGGUUAAAUCAGAGUUGUGCCAUUGGUCUACUACAGAGGUCGAUGUUUCCUUUGGUGAUCAACCCCAACGGUAUACUCCAUUCCUCACUAAACCAAAGGGUUUUGGCAGAUCUAAGGGAGACAAAUACAUAGUUCUCUGAUCAGAUUGAUAAAAUUGACAUCGAGAUCCCUAGGGCACCAUUAUCGUUGCUAGACUUCAAGGGGGAAGAACACGAGGCUGUGGAGAUCGUCACCCAAUGAUCACAAGUCUCACUUUCCUAUUACGUAGCCACAGUCAUCAUCGCUCUGGAAGAAAAUCCAGCCAUGAAUGAUAAGACAUCGACCUCUAUUUCUACACCAUUAUCGUUUUCUAACAAAGAUGCUUGGCGUAUCUUUAGUUUCUCGUGAAGUCAAGUAUGUAAUCUUUCAUUUCAAGCUAUCUUUCUAGACAUUAAGCAUUCUUUAAACUCUUUAUGAAUUUUACUAAUAUAUAGAGCAACAAAUUUUGCUAAUAUAUAAAGGCUGGCAUGUUAGAUUUCUUAUGAAUUUUAUGAAUCCAUUUUAUUAGCUUACAAUAUGAUCUAUCUAACAGCAGAUAGGAAAAAAGAAGAAAAGUGUUGGUAAGAUAGUGUCCAUAUCAAUCCACUAUAUGUCUUGGGUUGCAAGAUACAUGUGAGUCUCAUGACCUAAUAGGAAGUCUCCAUGUCAGUGUUUAUGGCUCCACUUCCCAUCUGUAGGGCUAGUUUGCGAACCUGUAGAGUAAAUUAAUGUACCUAAUGGACCUAUAGACUUGUAUUGCUAGUAUUUGCCUCUUGCUUUAUUAAUAUUAUCUUCUUUCACUGUUGUGUAUCCAUACUGUAUUUACAUGCUUAUCCAACUGUGUUGCAGUUUUACCAAAUUGGCCAUUGCAAAUAUGGAGAAUCUUGCAGAUUCAAUCACUCCAAAUCUGAGCCUAAAAACUCUCUCCCACAACUUAACAUUCUCAGUUUUCCAGAAAGAUUAGUGAUUAAUAAUUUAUCCUUGUAUAGCUUUUCAUAUAGCUGAAUUCGUUGAAUUAUCUUAUUAAACCAUAUUAUCUUGUUGACUAGGUUUAUGAAAACUGUUCAUUCUACAUGCGUACUGGUGUUGUGAUGCUGUAGAGACAAGGAACGUAGAAAGAAGGUUAAAUAUAUAUUGAAUGUAUAUUCAACAAUAAUUAUUUCAUGAUUUUUCUUUGUUAAUUAACUUACACAUAUAAAUAUUUGUUGAUGGACAUAUAGGGUGGACCAAUUGUUAUACCUAGGUUAUGUCUCCGAAAGGCUCUUCAACCAUUGCUUCCCAUAUAUCUUCAGGGCCUAAUAAGCAGGUCUGCAGAAUUGAGAAAGUUUGCCUUCGUGACGAGGUCAUGACCAUUGUCGUGGCCGACGGUAAUCAUCUCCACUCAUUAACCGAUUGGAUCUCAUAGAUUUUUUUUGAACUUUCAUUAAUUUUUGUUCAAGUUGUGUGGAUUUUUGAUUUUGAUGACAUGGUGCCGUUGUACAAAACCCUAGCCGUGAAUUCCGUGCUGGAAGUCGACCAGAAGGUCUUGGAUUCGAUGUGUGCUAAGAUUGCCGAAGAGCUCAAGAAGCUCGAUGAAAAGUAAGCUAUGUUUCAUUGCAUCUCACUACUAAUCCAUGCUUAUUUUCAAAAAUAUAUAUGUACAUAGAUUUAACGGCCUCGAAUUUGAAGGUAGCUAUUCUUAUUUCUGCAACAAAUUUUUUUCGUAUGCUUAAUCCAUCUGCAUUUUACAUGGAUUUGUUAUUGAAUCUUUUACUGAAUGAAAUUGGCAUUUUUUGUAUAUAACCACCGAUACCUACAUGAAAAUGUUCAAGUAGUUAUGCUUGAAUAGGUUUGAAAUGAACAAGUCUAAAUCUAAUCCAUUGAACCAUGAACUUAAGAUCAUAAUACAAGCUGUUGGAGUUUGAGCUUUUGUAUUGCAAUGUAACAAUGUAUAUGUGCUUCCAUGUUCCAUCAUAAGAAAGUUAAUGGAAUCUAUGUUUAGGACCUCAAAUUCCAUGGCUUCCAGUUUUCUAUUAAAGAAAAUGCAAAGCAAAAGUGAGUGAUAGAUUAGUUUGGCCUGUCUCACCAUCUUUUUUUUGUUCUUGUUUUAUUCAGAAUCGCGGAUGCUGAAGAAAAUUUAGGAGAAAGUGAAGUUAGAGAAGCUCAUUUGGCAAAAUCUUUGUUCUACAUCCGGAUUGGUGACAAGGUACUCAACAAAUAAAGUUUACCUGUUCAUGAAAAUUUAUACUAUGUUGAUUUCCAGUGCCACUCGAUAGUUUUUUUCAUGCCAUAUAAUAAUGCCCCUAUAUUGUACCAAAACUCAUAAUACACCAUAAGUUUAUAAAACAUAAAUGCAACACAUUUUUCUAUUCAACAAAAAACUUGUAUCCGACAUAAUCGCUAACAAAAGCAGUUUCAAAAUUUUCAUUAAGAUUAUCAAAUCAAUCAUUUGUUUAGGCAAAUAUAUAUUUAAAGAUCCUGAUAAAGAAUACACAAUUUCUGUUUCAAGCACCUGAUACCUUAAAUAUGUCUUAUUAACCUAAUUAGCAUUUGCAUAAAAAAAACACCUAACAUUUUUUUAUCUUUAUUGCAACCAGGAGAAAGCACUAGAACAACUGAAGGUGACAGAAGGCAAAACAGUUGUUGUAGGGAAAAGAAUGGACCUGGUAUUUUACACUUUACAAAUGGGUUUCUUCUACAUGGAUUUUGAUCUUAUAUCAAGAAGCAUCGAUAAAGCAAAGAAAUGAGUUCUACUUCUUCUCUUGAUUCAAAUUCCAUUAUUGGAGAGGAUGGUAAAAAUUAACUCUUUGAUAUUUGUAGUCAUUGAAGGAAUUUUUUUUAUUAUGUUUAACUUUCUAUUUUUGUAAAUAAAAAAAAUUCAGGUAUGAAGGCCUCUCGGAAAAUUUUCUGUCAUCUCCUGUCCCAAAGCUGUUGUUGUUGGCUGGAACAGAUAGACUUGGCAGGUUCUUUCUUUUUCUUCCCAUUCAGUGUUGUUUGGAUAAAUGAUGUUUAAAAUUUAAUUAAGAAUAUGACUGCACUACAAUAUAAUAUAUAAUAAUUGUUAAAUAAAAAGUCAAUAUUAUUUCUUGGUGGAAGGGUAAUAUGGUAAUUUUCUGUACCAGGGCUCUCACGAUAGGACAAAUGCAGGGAAAGUUUCAAAUGGUGGUUGUCCGACAUACUGGCCAUGCAAUACAGGUGAGAAUUUAGUCUUUUCAAAUAAACCUUUUUGUUUUUUGAUGAUAAAUUUAAACAAACAAACUUGGCCAUCACCUUUGUCUCCUGAUGUCAUGGAUUUUUGUAAAGAAUAUAAUAUGUCUGAUAUUCUACUUAUAAUUGUUUUGCUUAUUAGGACAUUAUACUAUAGAUUUUUUUACCUAAUUAAGCAGUGAAGUCACUUUGUAUUUGCAAUACAUUUGCUAAAACUGGGUAGAUUUCAGAAAGUAGAAUGUUGUAAUAAGAUGAAAGGAAAGUAGGAUGAUGUAUAAUAGAUGUUAUGGGCCUUCCAUGUUAAUAACAAACUACCACACUUUGGAAAACAAUUAAGGAUUGUUUAAGCAUAUCACUUGUUUAUGGGCCUUCUUAGGAUAUGACCUAAUAUAAAUACUCCCUAGUUUCUAUCUAUUUCAAUAGAAUUUUGUAUAAAAUUGUCCAGAUACUUUGUGAGACUUAAUUUUUUUUCUUACAUUUCCUUUAUCUAUAAGACAAGGAGGAAUCUUCAAGGUCUACUUCUAGAAAUGUGUAUUUAUUUAAAUUUUCUUGAAGAAUUAACCUGGUUUAUUAGUUGUUGUUUCUGAUACGAACAUGUUUAUUGGCUGUCUGAAAGGAGGUGACGCCUGGAUUUGGGAAUGGAUUUCAAGCUACUCUAAAGACUAGCACCACCAUCCAGAUUCACAAAGUUUAUGGAAGCUUUGAUCGUUUGCCUUCUGCUCAUACAUGGUAAGAUAAUCAUGUUUCUCUGUCAAAUUACGUUUUUUCCCCUGAGCUAUGUCACACUUCAAAAGAAGCAUGCUACAUUUUUCAAUGUCAAAAUUUUGCCUCUGAGCUAUCUGUAGGAACUGCCAAAUCCUUCAUGAACUGUGAAAAAUAUGGAGAUUUCUAAGAAGCUCUGCUUCAACUUUUUCCAAUAUUUUGGCUUUUGCAACUGCAUAGUUUCCAAUGUUUUGGCUUUUGUUUGGCAGCUUGGACAAACUUGUAGCACCUGAUCAUCCAUUCCACUCUUGGUAAAACAAAUUUAUAGUGUACUUAUUCCAUUCAUGUUAGUAAUUUCUCAUUAUGAUGUGUUGUUUCUUGUGUAAUUUUAUUUUUAGGAGGUAUUUUAAUUUAUUAAAUGUUUAAAGUUACAAGACAUGAGUAUGGUCAUGGAACAUUUUAGGGCAGUUGUUGGUCUUCCUCUUGGUAAUCCAUCAAUGAAGUGGCCAACUUGCAUCAUGUAAUAACAUUUUAGGUGAAGAUGUAUGUAUAUGUUUUUGUUAAUGCAUAAUGUAAUCAUAUGUAUGAAUAUGAAAUAAAGUUUGUUAUUUAGUAUGUGAUAAUCAUGUAUAGGGAGAAAACAACUUCUAUUGAUUUGUUUUAUCUUUCCAUGGAUUGACUAUUUGUAUGACAUUAAAUUUUAUGCAAUAGAUUGUAUUUUUUGUAUAUGGUAUUUUAUUUUUUGUUAUGAGACAGUAAAUGCAAAUUUAAUUUGAAAAUUAAUAAAUCUAUAAAUAAUAUUUUUUUAAAACAUUUAAAAUUACGAUAAGCAAAAAUGUGUGUCAUCUUCAUUUAUGACAUGGCCUUUCUUGACAAGGGCUUCCUUGAUAUGCAUUGUGUGUCAUAAACAGGCACGUCGUAAGGUUACGACAUGCAACUGCGCGUCGUCUUCCUUUAUGACAGGGCCUUCCUAGAUACGCAUUGCGUGUCAUAAUUGUGCGUCGUAAAUGUGCGUCGUCUCUCUUUAUGACAGGGCCUUCCUUAACGCGCAUUUACGCGUCGUCUGAGCAUUUUACGACGUGCAAUGAGCGUCGUAAAAGGCAGUUUUCUAGUAUUGGAUGAAAGAUGAGAUGAAUGAUGAGAGAUGACAGAUGAUAUAGAUAAUGAGAGGUGAAAGAUGAUGAGAAGUGAUGACCCAAGCGAUGGCCCAGUCAUCUAGCAUAGUGUAGAUGACAACCACAAACUCUUCUAGACAGUUCAGUGGAACACUAGCAGGUUCGCAACCUGUAGGUGUUCUGAACGACGUGUUCCCUAGAUGUACUCUAAAAACCCAUUGACAUGUAUUGUGGGUGGAAUCCCUAAAAUAAUAUUGUCAAUAAAAGAGAUAAACCCAAGCAGCUAUAGAUUUAGUGCCCUAUAGAUGAACAUUUGCAACUAUGGACUUAGUGCCUAACAAAUAACCUUGGCAGCUAUGGACUUAGUGCCUAUUAUGCAAACCCUGGCAACGAUGGACUUCGUGCCUAUUCCUUAGGACAAUCCUUAGGAAUAAAUAAUGAGGAAUAAAUGGUUCUUAGGGUAGAUCCUUAAGAAAUAAAGAAGAUAAUGGGGAUGGGUAAUUUGUUUAAUUGUUUGAUGAUGAAACAUAAUAACUAUAUUAUUGUGGGUUGAAAACCCUAUGUACUCACCUGGUUUCCCAACCUAAUUUACUCAGUUUAUUUGUAUCACGGGUAUCGAUAAGAAGACACAUUACACUAAGAGAUUAAAGGAGAUGUAAAUCAUUAGUGUAAAUGAAUGUAAGGUAUGUUUAAGCUUACGUUUUUGUAUUGACGAUGACAUCCCAAUGUUUUAAUAUAAAUAAAAUACAUUUCUUCGGAAAUGCUUUGAUGAUAUUAUUAUCAUGUUUUUCUAGGAACAAAUUCUGCAAUACUACUUUUCAAAAAAAAAAUAUACUCUUAUUUUUAAAUAAGCAUAAAUAAAAUUUUUAAAAUCACCGUGAAUUUUGGGAUGUCACAGUUGGUAUCAGAGCAUUAGUUUAAGCGUACUAGGAGUAAGGAUUUAUUUCUAGACAUAAACUUAGAAUGCUAAGCGAUGAUAGUGAGGAGUGUGUCUAUUAUAUUUUAGGUAGUACACCUAAAUUGACACAAGCACUAGCUUACUUUAAGAUUAGAUGCCUAAAUUGCUUUUAUGUGCUAAAUGAUUUAUGUUAUAGCCUUAUAUGCUUUAUGGUUCUAUUAUUUGAUCGGAUCCAUGGUCUAUUGCCGACCGGAUCUAAAAAUUUUAUGUGUUUAGAUUUCUAAACGUUUAAUUACAAUAUUAGAACUGGCAUAUAACUUUUCGAAGUAAUAAGGAGGAUUACACGUCUAAAACUUCUCUUUCUAUAUUCUCGUCCUGAUACGUUGAAUGCAUGCUUUCAUGAACAUAAACAUCAUGGUGAAGACUCGUAGUGAAUUAAGUAAAUGGAGGAAAUGAAGAGGCUUACGAUAGUGAAUGGCACUUAUCGAAAGAUAUCGUAAGAGGUAUCUUGCCUUUAGAAUGCGUAUAAUAAAAAAAAUAUGUCUCGUACGGGAGAAGUACACUUUUGAUUAGCAGAAAGAAAGAAAUUUUGGUAUAAUCCAUGAAGUUAUCCCAUCGUUUGACAUUUCCACCACCAACCGAGUUGAAGCAUAAUUGAUGAUUGAAGAUACGCAUGGAAGAAGUCCUAAUAGAGUCUAUGGAAAUUUGUAUGAUUAUUUGGACACAUUUGUAUGUGUUAAAUCGUUUUGUGAUUUUAGGAAAUCAGAACUUGGGGAUUGUGAGGCAAUUCUUGGGACAAGUAUGAGUAGGUGUGAAAGGUAGUAGAGGCCUAUACUACCAGAAGCACAAGACUCGCACUUGGAUCAGGGAAAGUCACAAGGUUAGCAAGGCACUAGUAAUUGAUUCUGUUUUGUUAAUCUCUAUCCUUACCAUUGUUUUGGUUAUGACUAAGAAGAUGAUUAUUCUGACCCUAGUGGUCAUAUCAAAUCGAGUCUGACUAAGAUAUUUAUUCUACGUGGUUCAGAGAACCAAGGUCGAUGUAGUAUCCAACUUAAGCCAGAAGAUUGAAUGGAAAGAUAAUCGAAGGAAUCAAUAGAAGUGUCGCGAUUGACGAUAAAGUAAGAAGCUUGUAACUAGAAGUGCUACAUGCUAAAAUGUGAUUAUAUCACAUAAGAACAUGAAUGAAGGUAUCAUCCAUUUUGGAAUCUGACUCAAAUAGACCUGAGUCUAAGCAUUGCAUCAUACGAUUAGAGGUCAUUAGAACAUGACCCAUCGGUCUAUUACGAUAAACGAACUAAAGAACCUAUAUUAAUUUAAGAAGGAUACGAUUGAAAGUCCAACAUAGGAUAAAGAGUGGGUGCAAGAUUAAGCAUCGCCUGCUGGUCAAGAAGUCCAAGAGUUAGAUAGUCAUUCGAAGGAACAUAGAAGUUACAAUUAUUACCUAGGAUGAAGAGAUAACGUAUGGAGUCAAUAUACAAGCCCUGAUUCGUUGAUGAUUCUGGGACGUAAUCAUCCUAAAUGGGAGAUAAUUGUAACGCCUGCAAAUUCAUACUAGUCAAUUUAGAGACUAUAAGCAUCAAAAAUGACUUCUUGAUAGAAUAUUAUUUAGAAUAAAUAAUCUUAACUAAGCUAUAUUAUAUUUCACAAGGGUUCCAUACAUAUAAAGAACGCGGAAAUCUGAGUUAUAACGAAGAAUUAUGACCUGUCAAAGUUUUACCGCAAAAUCGGCACGACAUCGGGAAUCGUAAAAAGUGAGUUUGCGUUAAAAUACUUUUUAGCCUUAGAGAUCUAAAAAAAAUUCAUAUUAUAUGUUAAACCGAGAGCAUACAUAAAAAGAACGUCCAAAUCUAACUUCGUAUGAGGAAGUUAUGAUUUUUCUAAGAUUUAGAAAUAGUAGUGCACAACCUAGAAAUCGAAUUUUAGAUCGAUUGAUUUUUAGCCGACACAACAUAAAUGAGGAUUGAAGAUCUCAUUAAUAGGAGCUCAACGAUAUAAUGACAGUCGAAAACGGACGUCGGAUGAAAAAGAUAUGAAUUUUUAAUGGAUUUUAACUGUCUAAGUCUGUUAAAAUAUACCUUUAAAAAUAAAGUCAAAAUUAGUCGACGGAGUCUAAAAAAAAGUUCUAGAUCCCGUCGAUACCUAUGCGUGGAUAUAAAGAACAUCAAAAGAGGAGCUCGUAUGCAAACGUUCCGGAUUUUAGAAGAUAAUUAGUUUUUAGGGUACACAACAAGCAACACGUGGCACGAUCUGAGCCACUGCUUCCUCACCACGGCUUGGCACCAGAUGAUGACACCUGGCCACGAACGCCCAACGUUUAGCAAGGGAACGCCCCACGGUCGCACCAGACUCAGCCUAUAAAUAGAGGCACAAAUCACCCCGAAAACUCACACCUUUCCCAUUCUUUCUCUCUCAAACACCCUUCUUAGCCCAUCCUAUUCCCUAGUACUUCCUAAGUGCUAGAGGCGAGUCCCGGAGCGCCAGAAGGCUCCGAGAAGAAGUGCUUUCGGCUCGGAAGUUCUGCCCCCGCAGAGCCCGGUUCCUAGCCAAACCUCCUAGUGAGUGAGUUAUGUUUAACCUACUUUAAGUAUAACUUAUAUUUAAGUUCAAUAUUGUUAUUACGAACUUAUAAAAAAUAUAUUAUAAAAUAUAAUAUACAAGGUGUUAUUAUAAUAUCUUUUAACUACUCGCGGUACGAGGAAUCUGGUUCGAAGGGCCGCAUAAGGUUGUUGGAUUUCAUAAGUGCUAUAAUUCCAAAAUGGUCUUACCCUUCGGUGUUUCAUGUCUGGCCCUGUCUGUACACAGUGAUUGAAAAGUAUUGUUUAACACUUAAAAAACAAUAUCGAUCAUAAAUAGUUGCGAUAAAUAUUCAACUAAAAUCUAGCGGUAAUGAUACUAGGUUUCGUCAAAGGAAAAUAGAAUCGUUAAAAGCGAAGCACUGCCCGAGUUUGGUAUCAUCACUUUAACAAGUAAGUGCAUAGUUACUUUCAUCUUAUACAUAAAUAUGAAGUAGUUAAUAUAAAUUAUGUGCUAUGUGAGCAUAUUAUUCGUGUUCUUGAUAUCUAUGCUAAAUGAACAAAAUAUACAUGCUUUAUUUGAUUUAAAUUGUAUAUGUAUUUUAUACAUAUAAUUAUGAUGGGUAAAGAUGAGUAGAUUAAAGAUGAGAUAAGAUGAGAGAUGAAUGAUAAGAGAUGCAAGAUGAUAUAGAUGAUGAGAGGUGAAAGAUGAUGAGAAGCGAUGACCCAAGCGAUGGCCCAGUCAUCUAGCAUAGUGUAGAUGACAGCCACAGACUAUUCUAGAAAGUCCAAUGGAAUACUAGCAGGCUCACAACCUGGAGGUGUUGUGAAUGAUGUGUUCACCAGAUGUACUCUAAAAACCCAUUGACAUGUAUUGUAGGUGGACUCCCUAAAAUAAUACUAUCAAUAAAAGAGAUAAUGCAACUAUGGAUUUAGUGCCCAAUAGAUGAACAUUGGCAACUAUGGACUUUUUUGCCUAACAAAUAACCUCGGUAGCUAUGGACUUAGUGCAUGUUAUAUAAACCUUGGAAAUGAUGGACUUCAUGCCUAUUCCUUAGGAAAAUCCUUAGGAAUAAAUAAUGAGGAGUAGAUGAUUCUUAGGGUAGAUCCUUAAGAAAUAAAGAAGAUAAUGGGGAUGGGUAAUUGGGUUAAUUGCCUGAUGAUGAAACAUAAUAACUAUAUUAUUGUGGGUUGAAACCCCAAUAUACUCACCACGUUUCGCAACCUGGCCCACUCAGUUUAUUUGUAUCACAGGUAUCGAUACGAAGACACAUUACACUGAGAGAUUUAAGGAGAUAUAAAUCAUUAGUGUAAAUGAAUGUAAGAUCUGUUUAUGCUUUUGUUUUUGUAUUGACGAUGACAUCCCAGUGUUUUAAUAUAAAUAAAAUAUAUUUCUUUGGAAAUGCUUUGACAAUAUUAUUAUCAUGUUUUUCCGGGAACAAAUCCCGCAAUACUACUUUUCAAAAAAAGAUACUCUGAUUUUUAAAUAAGUAUAAAUAAAAUUCGUAAAAUGUCCUUGAAUUUAGGGAUGUCACAAUGCACAUCCUGAACGAUCCAUCAUUCUUUUUGAAAAAUAACACUGGGGCUCCCCAUGGAGAGAAAAUUAGCCAGGUAAAGCCUUUGUCGAGAAGUUCUUGGAGUUGACUAGAUAGUUCUUGUAUUUACGAUGGAGCUAGACGAUAAGGAGAUCGUGCCACUAGUGUUGCACCCAGGAUUAGGUCAAUUCAGAAUUUAACCUGUCUGAAUGGAUGUACUCCAGGUAGAUCUUCUGGAAACACAUCCAGGUAGUUACACACUUGCGAUAUGUAUUAGUUUUCCUUACCCUUGUCUUGUGUAUCCACCACAUGGGACAAGAAAGCGUAACAUCUUUUCUGCAAAUACUUCAUUUCCUUCAUGCAAGUGAUGACUCUUAGGUUCUUCCCUGCCUUGUCUUUGUAAAUCAAAAGGCCUUCAUCAUUUAGUAAAGGUAAUCGUACUGCUUUUUUGUAACAUAGGACCUCUGCUCGAUGGGUUGAUAACCAAUCCAUUAUGAUGAUCACAUCGAAACUUCCAAUGGUCAUGGGCAUUAAGUCAACAUGGAACACAUGAUUAUUCAGGGUGAGAAGGUAGUUGGUGAGUGUUUCUAAAGUGCUUUCUACUUGACCAUUGGCUACUUCUACUGUGUAAGCUUCAUUAAGUUUGCAUGUGUAACAACCCGAAGUUGUUCAUCGUCGAAAACCUAUUCUACCCGUAUAACUCGUCGGAAAUCAAAAUGUCCCGGUAUCGUUUUUGGGUUUAGUUAGUAAAAUUUAUAUGUUUAUUUUAACUCAAUGAGUGUCCAAUCCAUUUAGGAACUCAAGAAAUCAGCCCAAAAACAUUAUUACAUGAGUUUUAGAAUGUCCCCGCCGGGUGACGGAAACUCAAUCGGGUGUGACCUAAAGCAUCAUUUAAGGCCGGUAUCGGGUAGAAUUCCACCGUGUCCAAGUUUUAGGGACUAUAUAAACAUGUUUAAGCACUCAUUUGAAGCUUUUUCCUUCUCUCUCUACUCUCUCUCUAACCGCUCUCCUAGAUCCAAAGAUUAAGUGUCCAAAACUCAAAUUUAAGGCUUCAAAUCCUUAAGGUACCUUCCUAGCCUUAAUCUAUAGCAUGUUUAGCUUCCAAAUUAGACAUUUAACCAUGAAAUUGACCAUCAUAUGUGAGUUUACGGCCCAGGAGGCUGCCUAGGCCGUAAAUACCAAUUUGAAGGGUUUUAAGCCCUUAAACUCCUUCCUAAACUCAUUUGGACUUUAGAUAUGGCUAAGGGACUUCAAGAUAUGGACUUAGAACACUUAAAUCUAUGAUUUUGAGGACUUUGAAGGAGUUUACGGCCAAGGCAUAAGCUUGGGCCGUAAACUCAUGUUAAUGGGGUUUUUCAUGCCUUUAAACCCUUCCAAAUCACCCCUAUGGCUUAGAUAUGAAUUAUAGGACCUUGGUAUUAGCAUUUGGACACUUGAAACAUGAUUUUUGGGGGAUUUAGAUGAGUUUACGGCCAAGGAUAGUGCUUGGGCCGUAAACUCCCCAAAACUUGGCUUAAAUCCAAUUCUAAGGUGUUAGAAAGCCAUCCAACACCACCAAAAGCCUUGGAAUAAAUCAAGGGACCAACCAAAAAUACUUUAAAGGCCUUAAACACAUCUUUUAUGGGAUUUCUAAGAGUUUACGGCCAAGACCUGUUCUUGGGCCGUAAACUCCAAAAUUUUUGGUGUUAGAAUGCAAACUAAACACCCCUACAGCCUUUAGAUGAAUUUUAGAAGUCCUUUCAUGCAAGUUUUAGACCUUGAAACACAUUGUAGCUUGACAUAUUAGAGUUUACGGCCAUGAAGGGGGUUUCAUGGGCCGUAAACUCCAUAAAUCCCUCAUAUGUCCCAUAUAAACUCAUUUCUAGGCUUGUGGGAAUUUUUAGAAUCACAUGUGAUUGGUUUUAACAACAUUUAGCAUCAUUUUCAUAAGGAUUAAGGAGUUUACGGCCAGGAGCCUAUGCUAGGCCGUAAACUCCCAUAAAUUAAUCAUUUUGGUGAUUUUAAUCCAUUCCAUGCAUUUAGAUCAAAGCCUAGAAUCAUUUCCCAUGUCCAUGUAAGCCAUUUAAGCCAUUUAAACACCCAAAACCACACCCACAUGAGUUUACGGCCGUAAACUCAUGUAUGUGUGUGUUUUGUGGUUGUAAACUCAUUUAAAAGUUUACUCAUGGGGAGUAAACUCAAGUCCCAAGUCCCUAGUGUCAUUUCCCAUCCUUAAACGCCACCCGGGUCCCUUCAAACACUCAUAUCGGAGUGUUUUCGCGACUUGAAGCAAUUGUCCAUAUCCAACAAUCAAUCUAGGUCCUAAUUAGAUACAAAUGUGUAUCUUUAAAUUAUAAUUAGGAACCUCGCGCAUUUACAAGCCCCGGACCCAAGUUUAGCAUCCGGAAUCGUCUCGUUACUCGUCUGGUGAGUUCAUAUCCCUACCCUUUUUCACUGUUUUUAACCGUUUUCAGGGGAGAAUACAAGCAAAAGUACAAGUGUAUCUUGUACUCAAAUUGAUUUUCAACUUAAUGAUUUCAGUUUCUAAAUAUCUAAAUUUUCAAAGAUCUCGACAACUAAUGUUUCGAAUUGCAGGUUAAUUGUAGAUUUCUUUCGAAAAAUGUUUGAUCUACAUUAUCUUUUGUAAAAGAAAUUAUACUAAUAAUUAACAAAUAUGACUAAUAGAAUAGAACGAAUGCGAUUACGAAUAUGAAUAUGUCUACAAAUAAUGAAUUCAAAUACUAAUAGGAAUACGAAUACGAAUAUUAAUACGAAUACGAAUGUAACUUAGAACGAAUAUGUCUACGAAUACGAAUAUAUCUACGAAUAGGAAUGCGUCUACGAAUACGAAUACGACUACGAAUACGAAAAUAUGCCUCUGGACCUCUACUGAGCUUCGAGUACAUCCUCCUCAGAAUGUCGACAGAGCUUCGAAUAUACAGCGAAUUAUACUCUUUUGGAAUUCAACAGAACUUCGAAAAUACUGUAAUGUACACUUCUGUGUGGUUCCAAAACUUCGAAAAUACAACUAAGUUAGUAAAUAGUAGUCAUCCAAAGGUAAAAUAACUAAGGGUUAGAAUACUUAUCUAAUGUUAUACACAUGGUAAUAACUAGGAUCAAAUGGAAAUGAACAGAUAACUCAACAUAUAGGAAAAUAUGGGAUUUUCCUGGGUAACACAACAGCUCACACUCGAACAAAGAAACAAUCAAAUAACUAUAAUUAUAAGGAAAAUAUGGGAUUUUCCUGGGAUAUCAUAACAGUUAGUAACAAAUCUAGAUGCGAAUAGACAACUCAACAUAUAGGAAAAUAUGAGAUUUUCCUGGGUAACACAACAGCACACACUCGAACGAAGAAACAAUCGAAUAACUAUAAUUAUAAGGAAAAUAUGGGAUUUCCUUCAUCAACAAGUUUUCUCGAAAUAUAAAGGAACUCGUCUCUUCAAAACUAAACUGCUUAUGAACUCACCAGCUUUAUGCUGAUUUUCAAACCGCUUGUAUUCUCAGGUCAACGUUAGACAGGUACAUCGCAACCUUUUGGAGAAGACGGAGCAUCCCGAAGACUCGUCUUUACUUUUGUCUGUAUCACCUAUGUAUAAUACAUGUACAACUUUACUUUCAAUCAAAUGUAAACAAUAUUAUGUAAUGUAAUGUUUUGUGAUUACUGCUUUACUAUGUGCAUUGGAUUUGAUACUCAACAUGGAGUCAACCCCGGAAACGUUUCCGCCUUUGGUUUUCGGGGUGUGACAACAUGAUUCAUGAUCUAUCAUUUUUCUAAACUUGUGGGAAAUAAAGCUUCUAUCGGCACCAGUGUCAAAUAAUAUUGUUGAUAGGAAAUAUACCAGUAACCACAGUUGGUUCCUGACAUGCAUCUCCCACACCUAUCACAAAUGCCCUUCCUUUGGCACACUGAUUCUUCAGCUUAGGGCAGUCUUUCUUGAAGUGCCCUGGUUGGUUGCACUGAAAGCAGCCCCAAGUUCCUCCUGUAGUAGUAGUUGGGGUUGUUUUUUUUGGAGCUUUCCUGCAAAACUUAUUGGUGUGCCCCUUUAAAUUUGAAGUUAAUGCAGAGCAUGUCGUUCUCAACAUGGUGAUAGUUGCAUUUAGGGCAGAGAGGUAGAGUUCCAGAGUAAGGUUUGGCUGAAGUGGGAGUGGUUGUGACUGUGGCGAAUACUGUUACCGGUUCUGGGUUUGGCUUGCGGUGCUUAAAGUUCCCUUUCGGAUUUCCAUGGAGCUUUCUCUUUGUGUUCCCUGCUUGGUUCUUUUCUUUCGGUGGGGUCAUGGUACCUCAAUGGAUGCAUUGCUCGGUUAACUGAUAGGCCAGUUAUUUAGCACUAUCAAAAGUGGAUGGUCCGGAUGCAAUAACCAAGCCUUGGAUCAUUGGUGCUAGUCCCCAAAUUUAUCUUUCCGUCUUCUUAUCUUCUAAGGGCACAAUUCCUAGGAAAAGGUUACCAACAUCAUUGAAUCAAUACGUGUAGGCAGCUAUCUCAGAUCCUUGCAUGGUCAAGUUCCAAAGUUCCUGCUCCAGGGCUUGGAUUUCCUGAAAGAGGUAGUAUUCUUUGAUCAUCCUCUGCUUAAGUGGUUCCCAACCCAUAUCACAUGAUUCAGUGAUUCCCAUGGACUUGGCAUGGCUAUUCCACCAUGUUAAGGCGGAGUCUAUCAGUGUCCAGGUAUCGUACUUGACCCGACAAUCAUCAGGACAAUAACUGAUGUGAAAAACUUAAGGGUUUUAGUAUACUACAACAUCCUAUGCUGCACAUACAACUCUAAAUGCUUUGGAUCUAUGUUUUCUCUAAUUAUACAUGCAAUAUUGUUUCCAAAGUAUUAAGCCUACAACUAACAUACAAUGGAUAAAAACAACAUGGAACUGAGUUAUAAAUUUACCUCUUUGUUGUAGCUUGUAGAAGUUCUUGAGUUUGGACUUUAAGAACUUAGUGCCCUAAGUGUUGCACCUCAAAUGGAAUCACAACACACCUAGAACAAAGGAUACUUUUAAGAGAGUAUUUCUUGCACCAAAAUCGGCUCAAUGAUAUCCAAGAACACUAGUGUGUCUAGUAGACAAUUUUGGACGCUAAGGGGCUUCUUAUAUAGUGUGGCAAGAUUAGGGCUACACAAUGUAAACCCUAAUGUGCAUGACCUUCCAUAUUCCUUAGGCUCCAUGGGUUUAAACCUCCAUGGAUCAUCCAUGGGUUGUCACAUGGGUUUAGCCCAACCUAAGGAAUCAUGGAUCAUUGGCCCACACCAUAUGAAUGAAUGAUUUUACCAAAUCAACCCCUUAUAUUUAAUUAGUCUCUUUUGAUCACAAAAUUAAUUCCAAAUGAAUUAUUGAUCAAUACUAAUUAAAUAAUGUGAUUUCAUAUUAAUAUAUUAGAACUUAUAAAAUAUUAAUAAAUCAUAAAUAAUCUCUUCUCAAAAGUCCAUCCUGUCAAAUUAUCCUAGUGAUAUGCAACACAAAUGGACCAUGCUGCUAUCAAGUCAAGUACAUACCAUUUACAGGUAUGGUCUUAGACACCUAAUCCAACAGUCUCCUACUUGGAUAAGUCUAAUAACUAUUAUUGCAAGUACGAAUCCACAACCCGAAUAGGAAUCGUAGCUCUUAAAGUCGUUGUCAAACUCUAACCUAGUCAAUGACGCGCCCAUUAGAUAAGGGAUCAUAUAUUCCUCCAUUCUAGAUAUCAUAUGGACAUGAGACAUGGAUUUUAAUCAUUCUCUCUGUCCAUAUAUUGUUUCCCGAUUUCCAAUUUAUGACGACCGACUAAUUGAACAAAUCAAACCAGUCCAGACUUGGCCAAGCACUUAGGGGUGUCAUCACUAAAUCAUCGAGGGGCCCACAGAUAUCGCUUUUAUGCACAUGGGGUAAAAGGAAUGGAUAAACUUCGACCCAAAUGCUCGCUUGUACUUACUCAUCAAAUUACACACACCAAUAUGUCUUCACUAAAUCAUUGAGGGGCCCACAUAUAUCGCUUUUUUGCAUUGGUGCGUUUACAUAUGUCAAUGUGCAACCGACUCGCAACUACAACUCAUAUGUCUCCAUUUCAAGAAUAUAAGAUAUUAUCAUCUCACAGUCAUUUGUGAUAAAAAUCCAUGAAUUGAUUCAGAUGAGCAUGGGUUGAAUCCAAUACUCAAAUCUUAUUCCAGGAGUGCUCAUGAACACUGUAGCAAACCCGUGUUAUGACUAAAACACCUCUACAGACCCAUUCAUGACAGUCUUGCCUCAAUACCUACUUCGAAAGUAUGAUCGACUGUGGAUGGUUUGAAUAACCUAGUUAUUCGGGAAGUCAAAACAUGCAAAGUGAAACACAAGAGUAAUACUAAUCAUAUAUGGCCCCAUAACUUUUGAGUCCCAUAUUGAUUACUCAUUAUUCAUUGUAUAAUGUUUCGAAUAAUCAACUUAAGAUUUGAAUUAACACAAUAUUUGUCCCAUGCUCCAAGCAUGCACACUAUGUUUUUCUAUGGCCCUUACUUUGUGAAAUAGAUCAAUUAACAACAUUUCAAUAAUACUCAUUUCACAAUUCCAAAUCCUUAUUGCAAAGUGUAAGAAUUCCAAAUUCUUGUCACUGCUAGAAAGUGUUAGAUUCUAAACUAUCAUGCAAUGAUUCUUUUGUAAUUUCUAGGUACCAAAAGUCACAGAGACUUAACCAACGAUAUUACAAAAUAUUCCAUUGGAGAUUGUUACAAGAUAAUUCCAUGGAAAUGAAGUCUCAAAUUCAAACUACAUUCCUUUGAACAUCCUUCUUGCAUAAAAGUUACAAACUUUCUCAUCUAUUCUUCAACACCCAAUAUGGAAACAUUCCAUAUUUCCAUAUGACAAGUCAUUAUUAAUAGAAUCCUUUCUAUUCAUAAUAGUGUCAAUCUGUUCCAUUCAUUAUUAUGCUUCCGUCUGUCCUUAAGCGACCAAUCCUUGGUGAACCUUAGAUUGUCCUUAACAGUUGUUUAACCACAUUAGUCAUAUCUGCUUCUAUUCCUUUUUCCCUCUUAAUGUCCUAGGCAUUUGGAAAAUUAGAACACGAGAAUAUUAUAGCAUAUAUAUCAAGGUUGUAGAACUCGUUACUCGGUACCUGUUCGGCCGACUACCGAGUAGCGAGUACUCGGGAGUACUCGGAAGUACUCGGGGAGUACUCAGAUUUGGAAAUUUGUGUAGAAAUAUUUUUAGGGAAAUUAUAUAUGUCAAAAUCAUAAGAUAAAAUCAUAAGUUGAUUGAAAUAUAUAACAAAAUUGGAUACAUGUGAAUACACAAAAAAUGAAAAACACAUAAUGAUCUCACCUCGUGAACAGUUACUGAAAAUUUAAGAUAUAUAUGUAGUAAUAAUCACAUGUGUGUGUUAAAUAAUAAAUCAUUAAGUAUAUUAUACAUAUUAAUCACCGAGUUGACCGAAUUUCACAACACUACUCAGUUCGUAAGGGACCGAUCGGGGAGUACUCGGGAUUAUGUAACUCGCCUCGGCAAGGGGGGAGUAGCGAGUACUCGGAGGAGUAAUCGGCCAACUUGGCGAGUUUUACAACACUGAUAUAUAUGCAAUCAAUCCUAUACCCGAAGCAUAUGGGAUGUGAUUCAUAAUGUCUAACAUAAAAACACGAUACUUGAUCAGUCUUUUAUAAUAUUUCUAUUUGCCAUGUUCUCAUAAUUUUGAUUAUGAAGAGGGAUGUCAUAAUCAUAAUCAAAUUUUGAGAACGCAAUUAACAUUUCAAUAUAUAGAAUUUCCUUAUGUUGAACCAUUCCAACAUAUCAUUCAUAUAUAUAUUUGACUAAAUUUGAUUAAAAACUCAAUCUAAGCUAGUAGAUUUAAAAUGAAGUAUGAAUUCCUCUCCCUUAAUUAUUGCAAAACAACUUUUCAAACCCUAUAUAUUUGCAAAUUGAAACUUCUGUUUUCUACAAUUAACAUUUCUAACUCACAACAUUUAUAAUAAUUAUGCUCCCACUAGCAUAAUAAUUAUUAUUUUACUAGUAUAACACUUAUGCUCCCACUAGCUUUGACAUGUAUUUAGAAAUCAGUUGGACUUCUAGAAAUCAAUACUUAUGAACUUCUUACCAAAGUUCAGAAUUCCGAUAUGAGAUGCUUCGAUAAGACUUUAUCUAGGCUUCUCAAAUUCAUACACCUUUCCUUAGAUAUCUCACAUGUGUGUCUUAACAAUUUUAGAACUUACAACAAUAAGUCUCAAAUGUUUAGACCUUUUGCCAUUUCGAACUAUGAAGAGGGAUGACGUAACCAUAAUCGAAUUUGAGAAUGCAAAUAUCACAAUUGCUACCUAUUGAAAUCUAUUUAGUGAAAGCGUUUCUUCACAAUCAUUUUCAUGAAUUGGAGAGAAACCUUAUGAAACUUAGAUUUUAUGGUAUAUGUGUUCAUAUCCAUGUGAAUUUGUCAUAACCAUAAUCACAAGACGAGGUUACUAACAAAUCCAAACCCAUAUGGACUGAACUUGUUUAAUCUUAAUUUUUGCCACUUGGCAACACCAGGGCCUACCAUCGCUUCCAAUUUGUUAUGCAAACAAUUGAUAAUUUAUAGAACUCACAUACAUAGUCAACUUUAACUGGAAUGGGCACCGAAACAAGAAUAUGUCAACACGAUAGGUUACAAACCUCAGGUCGUGUGCUAGUGUUUAAGAAUAGGUUUACUCUUGAUUACUUCUUGAAACUUUUAAGAUCUUUAAGACUCCUACUGACCUCUUGACAUAUAAGACUCUCUUGUCAACAACCAUUCCUUGACAAACAAAUACUCAAGAGUCAGCGUGGAUUCUAAUCAAGACUAACACUUCACACAAUUGGCCUUAGUUGGUCUUUGUUUUAUCCAAAACAUCACAACUUACCAAUUUCAAAUGUACAAGAGUAUGAAACAUUAUAAUCCACAUUUGAAGAGUGUUAUAAACCUUUCUUAAGACCAUGUCACUCAAGUUACAAUCUUGGAGUAUGGCUCUAAGACCUGAUUUUGGAACGAAGUAUGAUUUAUCUUCUUGAUUUAACCAUUUCAACAAUUCACGAUUCCUCUUCUUAGCCAUACAAAUGGACUAAGAUGUCCUUUGAGAAUCAAUUGUGAUAUGGUUUCAUAAUCACUAUGAUAAUCAUAAAACACGAUACCCAAGUACUCUCCCAUCUUUUUAGAUUGGAGAAACUUCUAUCUUUCUGCCUAAUUUGAUUCUUCUUAUUCGUUCUGCCAUACAUUGAACUUUUCUAAUGAUUCUAAAUUAUACUUAAACUUGUAAGAAUAACCAUAUUUACUAAAUUUUAGUAAAUCAUGACGAACAAUCUUAUCGUUCUUUGUGGUGGACCUGACCAGCACAUACCCAGUGUACCCGAUCCCCUAGUCCUUCACUUGACUCACAUAUUCAUGUGAACAAGGAAUUAGUCUUAGUUUCCCAGAGAUGAAGGUUCUCAUUCAUCACACAAUACAAGUUGCAUGAUUCCAAGUUUCUAUCCAAUUGAAACUUGGGUGAUGAGAAUCUUUCCUUAUUUGGUAAAUUUUGACACUGCCACAAACGAAAGAAUCAAAUUCAUAUUGCUAACAUAGAAACAUACAAACAUCAAUCUUCACAAAUGCCAUUUCAAGGAGAUAUAAUAAAAUAAAACAAAUUUUUAUUUAUUUAUAAAAUGUGGAAAAACUUUUCCUUACAAUGCAAUUACAAAUGAAAACUAUGUUAUUACAAAUUUCUAAGCAAUCUAUCAUAACUCUUAAGCAGCAGCUCAAAACUCCGAUCAUCGAACCAUGCAAUUGAAAUCCAUCUUCGCGACCAGAUUCAACAUACUCUUCCUUUAAGCUUCCUUCUUUUUGCAUAAUCCUAAAAAGCAUCAAAAUGCAACCUUGUCACAUCUUGUAUUUAGAAUCAACAAUUAGGAACUUAAUAGAGUCAGACAGUAGACUUACCCGAAGCAAAGUCAAACUUUUUUGAUUCUACCUUCUCUUAGAUCUUUCAAGUAGUCAGUGCAGCUUCGCUUCCAAUGUCCCUUCAAAUGGCUUCUUUUGCAUUGGCACAUGAGAAUAUCACAAACUUAGACUUUCCCUUUACCAUUUGGUCAACCGGGUUGACUAUGGUUGAUCCCUUUCCAUUGUGAAAAGAAAUAUUUUCUGGACUUCCAAUGUUACCAUUUUCAAUGCCUAUGGAAGUAUGAGAAGUAGAUAUUUCAAUCAAAUUUUAUUUUGCAGUGUGCCAAAUCAUUGUUGAUUCAGCAACAACAAGCAAAUAGGUAAGAUCAAUAAGGGUCAUGUCGUGGUCUAUCAUAUAGUAGUCCUUAAUGAACUCGCUAUAUGACUCGGGAAGUGACUAAAGAACCCAGUUAAUAGCCAACUUCCUUGGGAACACAACACACAACAUUCUAAGCCUGUCAAUGUGUGACUUCAUAUCCAAGACAUGUGCACACACAAACUUUACACCCUUGUGUUUGCUAUCCAAUAGGGCUUGAGUGAUCUUGAAUUUUUCAAGUCUUUAAACUUGUGGGUUAGGGAGAAUAAUUGGCGGAGGUGGAGGAAGUGAAAUAUGAUUACCAUUUCCCCUAAUGCAUGACAAAGGGAUUAAUCUUUCACCUUGAUCGUCACGUGGGAUAUCAUCUUCAAGAGGAAGGCUUGUUCUAAAGGAUUUGGGAAGACCAUAGUUGUGUGAGCUAGACAUCUAUAAUUAGAGAAAUUCAAGUUAGUUGAUUUAAGUCCUUAAUAUAACACUCAAAUGAAAUAUUAAGGCUAGGACCCAACACAAUAUUUUACAGUUCGGAAGAGGGAUGUCGUAAUUCGAAUGCAAAAUAUUUGAAGGUAGGUAAAUGACAAUUUACCAAUUCCCACCAUGAAAACGAAAUUUAUCAUUAGGUUUUAAAUGGAUUGAAAUUCCUAGAUCCUUUGAGUUUCAUUGAACUUUUCAAUGGCAUGUUUAAAUCUCGAUUGUGCCCUUCAUGUUUUUGACUGGAAUGCCGAGGAUCACAAACAAGGUGUGAAUAACGAUGCAAAUUAGCUUGUUACACCCAAUGUUACAACCAUCGAAUCAAUGUGCCGGUUAACCACACACACUCCAUUAAUCUAUGAUUAACAUCAAGCUACCCUUUGCCACACACUGUUAGUCCUAGAUUAGUGUGUCGGUUAACCACACACGCUCCACUAACGACUUAACAAGGUGCAAAGUGCAGUUUCAUGGAAUAGCACCAUUUUCACAUUUUUCCUAAAGUAACUAAGAUUGAGAAUUUAAUAAAAGUUUAGUUACUUUAUAAUUAUAAUUAUACUUAUAAUGAGAAUUAAUGUCCUAUCCUACCCAUUCGGAUAACGACCCUCCACCAGUCAAGGAAGCGGUGGGUGAGAGUGGACACCCAUUAAACCGCCAUUUUAUAGGCGAUAACCGUAUACCCCCUUUAUAGACCGGCUUCGUGAAUGAGUCCUACUCAUGGUAAGACUGACUUGUAUCAUACAUAUAUAAUUAUUUAACUUAUAAUAAUAUAAAGUAUAAGGGUAGAAUUUUAACUUUUAAAACUCUAUGGUUUGGAACUAAAGUAUUUAAAAGUGAGACUUUACAAAUUCCAAAACCUGAGGGCAAGUUUGAAACUUGUCAAAACUUUUCAUUUCUCUAACUUAUCAGUUUAAUGAGGUUUUUAUGGAAAAACUUUUCAAGUUCCAUAACUUGAGGACAAGUUAUGGAAGACCUUAAAACCAUUUAAGAUGACUUUUAAAAUGAGAUUCUUGAAAUUCCAUAACUUGAGGACUAGUUAUGGACUUCAUAAAAAAACAUUUAUGAAAAACUUUUCAUUUUCCAUAACUUGAGGAUAAAUUAUGGAAUUCAUAAAAGGCAUUUAGAUCAAAUAUUUCAAUUAACACAAUAAUCAAAUAAUUUUUCUAUGAUCUAGAUUAAACUCAUAAGUCAAGAUAACUCACAUCAACUAUUUAAAAGAAAUUAGUCUAUCAUAUAAACUAAUACGAAUUUUGAAACUACAACAAUUAUCUUUUAAUUGGACAAGCAUGAUCAUUACCUUAUGAAAAAAACACAUUUCAUGAUUCAAAAACAGUUUGGGGUAAUGAUCCUAAUCCAAUUUCUGGCCAAAAGUUGAAAAUAUGCCUAGUGGAGCACCAACUCAGCGAGUACAUAAACUGGACUCGUCGAGUUGGCCAUUUUAUGAGGGGACUCAGCGAUUUCACUGGGCAGAACACAGAAAAUUCGAUUUUUCACUUUGAAAACCAAUAAAACAUCAAGUAUAAUGGAAAACAAUCCUAGGCUCUGAUACCACUGAAGGGUUUUAGUAAACUACAACAUCCUAUGGUGCACAUACAUCCCUAAAUGUUUUGGAUCUAUGUUUUCUCUAAUUAUACAUGAAAUAUUGUUUCCAAAGCAUUAAGCCUACAACUAGCAUACAAUGGAUAUAAACAACAUGGAAUUGAGUUAUAGAGAUACCUCUUUGUUGUAGCUUGAAGAAGUUCUUGAGUUUGGCCUUUAAGAACUUAGUGUCCCAAGUGUUGCACCUCAAAUGGAAUCACAACACACCUAGAACAAAUGAGACUAUUGAGAGAGUAUUUCUUGCCCCAAAAUCGGCACAAUGAUCUCCAAGAACACUAGUGUGUCUAGUAGCCAAUUUUGGAUGCUAAGGGACUUCUUAUAUAGUGUGGCAAGAUUAGGGUUACACAAUGUAAACCCUAAUGUGCAUGACCUUCCAUAUUCCUUAGGCUCCAUGGGUUUAAACCUCCAUGGAUCAUCCAUGGGUUGUCACAUGGGUUUAGCCCAACCUAAGGAAUCAUGGAUCAUUGGCCCACACCAUAAGAAUGAAUGAUUUUACCAAAUCAACCCCUUAUAUUUAAUUAGUCUCCUUUGAUCACAAAAGUAAUUCCAAAUUAAUUCUUGAUCAAUACUAAUUAAAUAAUAUGAUUUCAUAUUAAUAUAUUAGAACUUAUAAUAUCUUAACAAAUCAUAAAUAACCUCUUCUCAAAAGUCCAUCCUGUUAAAUUGUCCUGGUGAUAUGUAACCCAAAUGGACCAUGCUACUCUCGGGUCAAGUAUAUGCAAAUUAUAUUUCUGGGCUUAGACACCUAAUCCAACAAAAACAACUUAACUCUUUUCUAUCCAACGGGAUAGGCCAACAACUCUUUUAGUGCCAUAGAAAUAUCGAGGUUUGCAACCCAUGAAUUCUUUGUAAGAGAAAUGCAUGGGGUUGUUUUGGUUAGCUAUUGGAGUGCCACUUCCACUAUUACCUGUGUUUCUGUUUUGAGUAGCUUCGUAUGUUGCCAAGGCUGUAGCAAUUCCUUGUGCCAACAUAUUUUGCAUCAUGGUAGGGUCCAUUUGGAAUGUUGGUUUUGCAUUCGUUGUGUUUGGAGUUCCUUUAGGGUUAGGAGUUUCUAUUGACGUUUGAGUUACUUUUGGAGUGCCUCUUCUGUUGGCUCGGGGAGUCGAUGGUGGUCGAAUUCGUGGCUCCUUUCAUCGAGGCAUUAUCCUAAUAUGUUAGAUAGUUAAGUUAAGUUGUGUUUAAACCAUGUAGUUAUAGUAAGCAUGUGUGUAUUUUGUAUUCAUUCAAUUUUUUUCUCCCGAAAUCAUACAGAUUUUAAGUCACAAAAUGAAAGUUUUAUCUGAUAUAGAGUUUUGUAAACAUUACAUAAUAAAUCCAAACAUUUAACAAAAUACUGAAACAUUUUCAUUAAAAGUGCUUGUUUUGGUUACAAAGUAUUAACCAUAUAAGGUUAGAAAUGGAAAAGCUUUUCAAAAGAUCUAUUACAAACCAGGCAAUGAUAAACACUUGCAAAACAGAAGCUAUUCCUCAAAGUUCUAACCCUAUCCUAGGGAACAAGCUGCCCUAGAUAAAAUACCUACCUCCCAAAGCGGGUCAUCACAUAAAGGACAAAAUCCUCGAACUGGUCAAAGAUGUAGCACCGCUCCUACACAGAGACAACCGACUGAUGUCAUUCCGCAGCAAGCUCACUCUCCAAGAUCUGAAUCAUGUAUUCCUGUGCUCUAACCUGAGCACUCAAGGCAUUCACCGUAUUGCGAUCAACACCAGAACAAGGGUAUAAUGUAUGGAUCACAUCAGAAUCCUCUUUCUUCCCUUCCUCAAGCGUCCCAAAUCGGUGCCCGAGGGAAGUAUAGUUUGAAUCUCUCACGAAGUGCUCCAAGUAUCCGAUCCUAUCCUCAGUCUCAUCGGCCCGAGACAUCAAGAGGGGUAUCAGAUCAUUCUCAGGGUUAACCCUGAAUGGUGCUCGUGAAGAUUCACCAAUCUCAAAUCGUGGUGGUAAAUCAAUAAUGUCCCUCAUGCAAAGGAGGUCUGUGAGCCAAGAUGACUCACUGGGUCAACUCCAUUUCCCUAAUAGAUCACUAAUGGGUUGGGAAACAUAGGCAGCUAGGUCCAGGUGGUAAACGGGGGAUAUACUCAUCCCUGGGGUCCUCAUCAUACAAAGACCCUUGCCGCAAAGAAGGUACGACUGGUAGUAGGGUCUCAUCAAUGAGACUGGUAGGGUAGGAGGGGCGGGUUCCUCCUCGGAUAGGUCUCCAUUGUCCUUCAUAGGGUCAUCAUCCUCGAGCUCUUAGGCAUCGUGUAAUAUGCCCUCAUCAUUAGACUCAUCCUCCUCGAGAUCCUCCUCCUCCUCAAAGUCAGCUAGAGCAUCCUGGGGAAAGUAUGGAUCCCUAGCUAAGUGUAAUGGAUCCUCCUACAGAUGCAACAGAACUCCUAGUGGCUCAUCGGGAUCCUUGAUGUGAAACCAAUCCUUAGGGUCAUCAGGUAGUCCAACCAUCUAUAAAAGGGUUUCAAGUGUGUUAGUAUAAGUAUUUUAAAAUUUCAUAAGUGUUUUAAUGUUGAUACAAAGGCUCUAAGGUACUAGGUAUCUACAUCGGAUCUUGUGAACAUUCUUCAACUUCUAAAACUCUCAACCGUUGUAGUCUGUCAAACUCCUUGCUCAAGGUUGGUUGUGCACCGGCCCGACCAUAAAUGACAGAGGCGUGCGUUCCAGGUUUAUUUGUGGUAUGGCUUAUGUACAAUACUAACCUUUAAUUGAGGUGUCUUACCUAAGGGGUUGAGUUGGUAGUUUUAGUUGAAGGGAUGUUUAGAAUUUUUUGAAGUGUUCUCGUCGCGGGUCAGAGUAUAUAUAAACUCUUAUAUAUUAUGGUUGGUGGGGUUUGUAAUAUUAUUAAUUUUGGUUUCGUACUUCCCAACUACCGAGCACAGACAGGGACCAGACAUGAAUCAUCGGAGGGCAGGAUCAUUUUGGCAUUUAAGCUGUUUUGAAAUCCAACAACCCUAUGCGGCCCUUCAAACUAGAUUCCCCGUACCGUAAGUAGUCGAUAAGUAGUUUCGUUAUUAAUAAUACUUUUAUUAGAAGCUAGUUGAUAUAGUUGUAUUCCUCUUUCGAUGAUACGAGUUCUCUAUAGCCAAUUUAGCUCUGAUACCAAUUUGUCACACCCUCAGUCGAGACGGUGGAACAUGUCGGGUAGUGCGACUAAGUUCAUGGAUCAUAGAUAAAUUGAAUAUACAGUACAAACACAACAAUAAACAAAACAACAUUUGUAUUCCAUCAUUAUGUUUGAAUACGUGGUUCUUAUAGAUAAUAACAAUAACAAUAAUAAUAAUAAUAAUAAUAAUAAUAAUAAUAAUAAUAAUAAUAAUAAUUAUUAUUAUUAUUAUUAUUAUAGUAGUAGUAGUAGCAGCAGUAGUAGUAGUAAUAAUAAUAAUAAUAAUACAUGAAUUGUCGUAACAGUUACGCUUAACUGAACAAAAAUAACAAUUUAAAGUGCCUGCAAUCCAAGUUUUCAAUGUUUGAAUAUGCUUGAAAUUCACUGAUUCCCUGAGAAUACAUGAAAAUUGAAAGUCAACACAAGGUUUGUGAGAAUCACAGGUUUUUUGCUUUACCGCAGUAUAAGACUUUUAACAAGUUCAAAAAGUAGUUGUCUUUGUAAGUAUAUCCAUAUUUAAAAAUAGUUUGAAAAUAACCACGUCCAUGGUUUGUGAAAAGUGAGAGUUUUUAGUUAAUGCUUAUAGUGAGCCCUAUAACCGAGAUAUAUGAAUGAGUGUACCCCCUACAACGCUUCAUUGGAUGUUGUAGUAACAAUUGUAGACACUUAUUACCUGCUUUGAUUGAUUGGUCAAGGCUGUAAAUAGCAACCAUAGGUGGGGAUGUCAACCCCGUAUACAUCUAUACAUAUGCAUCUCGCUUUGAAAAUUAAAGAUUAUAGUAGUGUGGGUAUGCUAAGUGAUUAAACUUAGCUAAUGAAUAGUGUCCCACUAAAAAGCCCUUAAAUAAGGUAGUUGAAAAGCUCUCAGCCUAAAUUAUUAGGCAUAAUGGAUUUGUAUAUAAGUUAAGCAUGUAUAGUAUAAGGCACUUACUUUUAUAUCGAAAUGUUUCUUUUAUAAACUCAAUAGAAAAAGGCAUAUGUUAGUUUAAUUAGUGUAUGAUUCUAACAACAUAACAUACUAGAAUAUCGAAGCUUAAAAUGAUAUUGUUUACUUAUAGUAUAUAAGUGUUAAACAAUACUUUUCGACUACUAUGCACUGACAGGGGCAAGACAUGAAACACUGGAGGGCAGGACCAUUUUGGCGUAUAAGCUGUUCUGAAAUCCAACAACCAUAUGCGGCCCUUCAAACCAGAUUCCCCGUAUUGUAAGCAGUUAAAAGGUAUUGUAAUAACAUUUUUUUAAUUUAUAAUACUUAUUACAUGUAUUCUCCCCCAAAAUAAGUAAAUACAAAAGAGGGGUCAUAACACUCACCUUAACGUGCGAUUGACGAUUAGUGUUCGGGAAUGGAUGCGAGAAGAUCGGGUUGUAUUGUCGUGAAUGCAGUAUUCCGAGAUAAUUUAGUUUCUUGAGGAAACAAUAUCAUAAAUUAAUAUGUUGAAGUGGGUGGGUAUUUUUGACUAAGUAUAAUGAGUUAUCAAUAUUUUUUUCUUUUUUUUUCUAAGUUUUAUUAUUUCAAAACUUAUUUAAAUAAUUAAUUUAAAUAAAAUUUAUUUAAAAUUUUAUUUUACUAUUUUCCAAAAUUUGUAAAUAAAUCCAAAAUUUAUUUAAGGAGUAUGGAGACGCCUUUAGGGAUCGAAAUCAGUAGUAACCCAUGCUUGGAGAGGGUAUUUCAUGGUGGUGGUAGUAGGGGUUUUGAUGGUGGCAAGAGGGGGGCCGGUGGUGGCUGCCCUCAGUUUUCUUCCUUCUUUGUAAGCUGAAACUGAUGGCGGAAGGGGUUGAGGGGUUUUAAUAACCAGAUAGGGUUAUAAGGAGAUGUUUUGGGUAGGGGUAGGGUGGUUUAGAGUGUAACUGAGAAAGAGAGAGAGAGGUAUAGAGUGAGAGAGCGUGAUCAAGAAGAAGUAGCUGGAGGUUUGUGUUAAAUGGAGUCACCAAUGCCUUCCUUUUAUAGCUAAAGCCCACACACACAUACCCUUUUGAGCCAUACUCCAUGAUGUCAUGUACUUGAUAUACUUGGUGUGCAAGCAAGNNNNNNNNNNNNNNNNNNNNNNNNNNNNNNNNNNNNNNNNNNNNNNNNNNNNNNNNNNNNNNNAGGAAGGGAAAUCAUAUUUUUUUGGCUUCUUGAAGCAUGGGUGGGCCCGACAUGGGGUUAUACCGCCAUUAAAUGCCCAAAACACACCAAACCGAGUGCGUCAGGAUCCGAAAGUCGAGAAAUAUUUUCGAAAUUACUGUUAUAUAGAGUUAAAUUCAAGGAUUCCGGAACAUCAAACGAUUGAUUUUUGGUGUUAUAGAACUCCGGAAAAUUGCAUUUGAAGUUUCGCGUCUAAACGACCUGUAAUGUCCGUUUUCGCGACUUAUGUAAAUAUUUUAUUUAAGUGUGAAAGUAAAUAAUAGACUAUAGUCUGAUUCCAAAAAUAUUCUCGAAAAUCUCAUUGACAAUGCGUAAGUAUGCCAACGGAUCAAUUUGAUUUUACGCGAUUAAAGAAAAAUAGUGUUUUACUGGCUGUUUUUUUUUAAAACUGUCGUAUCUUUUGCAUACGAACUCCGUUUUGGACGUUCUUUAUAUUUUUCGGAAACGGUGUACUACAUUUAGUGUUUGCUUUGCUCAUAAUUUCUUAAUGCAAAAAUUUUUCGUUUUUUCAGAUGCAUGAUUCAACGUUGUAGUUUGAGCGGUUUGAUUCGGUUGUCAGUUUACACAUUUGGAAGUAAAGUAUCAUCUGAUAUUACACAACAAUUGAAUUGGACUCAUUUAUUUUACUUUGGAUGCACUAAAACUGAACGAGUUAAAUUACAAACAGAUUUACUAUAAAAUUAGUCGUUCAUAGUCUAUGCCCUAAAUUCCGGGAUGUCAUAGAAAAUCUUCGGUGGACGGUGGCAGUGGCGGCGAUCGGCAGAUGUCGGUGUCACUUGGGUCAUCGGAGGUGGGUGGUCCACAAAGGAAAGCAGGUCAGAGCUGCGCCGGUGGUUGGUUGGAGCAAUGAAGGCGAUGUGCGGUUGUUCCAACAGUUCUUGGUUUUUUAGCGCGACGAAGAUUGGCGACAACCGACAGAAGGAAGUGGUCCGCCGAUGGAUUUUGUGUCAAAAACUAAGUGGGUGAUGGAGAGAGAGAUAUAUAAGAGGGAAAGAUAUGAGAGAAAGAGAGGUGUGAGUAGAAGAGAGAGAGAGGGGGGUGAGGGGUUAUUUAUAUAGGAUCCAAAAAUCUGAUCCAAUGGCUCACGAUGAAACUGAUCUAAUAGUAAGGAUGUGAUGAUGUGACUACUUGUUGGUGACAAGUAUUUCGUGAAAUUUCAGUUGCAUUGAUUUCGCCAACUAAAUCAAAUACUAGACUCUCUCGAGAUUUGGAAUAUGCAUAUAUUUGUUUAGGAUUCGUUGCGUAACUGUCCUAACGAAUUAGUUGAAAGUUGGUUUUCGGUAGAAAUCCAUUUAUAGUUACGCUUUUUCACUUCGUGAAAGGGUUUAUAUGUCGUGAAAUGGAAAAGUUAGGUUCUGAAUCAAAUACUACAUCAAAACCUGGUUCGUAAUAUAUAAACAAAUUAGGUGUAAAACCCAUAUAUUACAUGUGUUCAUUUUAAAGAAAAAAAAAAAGAAAUUCUAAACAUUUGAGAAGUUUGAAUUUAUAAGAAAAAUAGAAAAAUAUUGAAUUAUUAAAAUUAAAUUGUUUGUUUUUCUUUUAAAUUAAACAAAUAAUUUAGAUAAAUAUCAAAGGAAACAAAUGAAACUUUAAUUGAGAAAUUUUGAAAUAAGAAGGAAGUCAAUUAAUGAAAUUGAUAUGCAUUUAGUAUUACAUUUACUGCAAUUAUUACAUUUAAAUAUUAUGUGGAAAUUAACAAAAUGAAAAAAACCACAAAAUGUCAUGUGGAAAAAAUUAAUUGAAAAUAACCACAAAAUGACAUGUGACCAAAUCAAUGAGAGUGUGACAUGUGACAAAAAGUUCUUUAUUUAUUAGGGAGGAUUUUCAUGAUGAAUCUUGCAACUAACCUAACGAAUCAUCUGAAGGUCUUUUAGCAAAAAAAUACCAAUCUUCUGCUGUUUGAUCUUAUCCACAAUAGUAUAGGACUUUUCAGGAAAAAAAAGUUAGGAACGUGAUAAAUUCCUAAAUUGAGUUAGUUUUUAUAUACAAUUGUUAGAAAUUGAAAAUUCAUUCUCUAAUACAUAGUAGAACUCGUAUUAAGUUGUAUUUUUACGACAACCGGUCGUGUGUUGUUUUUCAAGUGUCCAUUUUUUAUGGAUUGACAUACCUUUUGUAUACGAACUUCGUUUUCAACAUUAUUUAUGUCAUUGAUUUCCUAAUUACAUGUACUAUUUGUUGAGUGUAUUGUUUGUUCAUAAUUUUUUUAGUACAUAUAUCUCUUUCAAUCAUAUAUACUAACACAUUACUUAUGUAUACUAAAGUUGUUUGUUUGUCAAUGAUUCGUUUCAUUCGAAGACUUAAUCAAUAAACUGGAUGUAAGUCCAUGUAUAAAACUUUACAAACAUCUAAAUGAUUUGAUUAGAACUCAUAUGGUCUAUUACCAUAGUGAUUAGAGUGAUAUUGUUUGACUAAAGUUGACCUAAUUUUCUUUGGUGUCACGCAACGAACCACAACAAUGACACCACCCUAGGUGUCUAUUUUGGCUCGUGGUCAUUGACUCAUUGUGUAUUGUGAUAGAGACGACGACACCACACCUAGUCAAAUUCAUUUGGUGUUUGACUCGGAAGAGGAUCGUUGAACAACUAGUUUUGAAAUAUAUAUAUAUAUAUAUAUACACACACGCACACANNAAUAUCACUACAUACCAUCUUAUUUUGCAUACAAUUAUUAUCUCCUUUUAUUCACAUUCACACAUUUAUAUUGUUUUAAAAUUCAAAAAUCAUAGAUCCCAAAAGGAUGAAUUGGUUAGAAGAGGUAAAAGAGAAGUUAGUACAACCAUGGGUGUCGGUUUCCGAAAAAAAAAAGAUAAUCAAAUCUUUAGCUGUUUUUUGGGAAAAGUUCAAAGCCUUUUCUAUGGUUUAAUGGGUUAUGCAAGUCGAAACCCCGAUGAAAUAUGUUCGAAGUGGUAUGAUUUGAGGGUAAAAUGUUGCGAAUUGGAUGAAAUUUACAACAUUGUAAACAAUCUUAAUAACAGGUCAAACGAGAUCAAUGUCGUUAAUAUGGUCAUGGAUCAAUAUGAAUACACAACCCACAAAUCUAUUCAGCAUCUCAAAAUUUGGCUAAAGUUGAAGAAUUUUCCAAAAUAUAAAGACUAGUUUAAAAAAACUAGCGGGUAGUUUUUUAAGUUUUCUUGCAUUUAAUUUUAGAUUGUCGUUUUUAUUUUAAAUUAAUGUAAUGUUUCUUUUUUUUUAAUGAAAAAAUAGUUUAAAAGAAAUCUAUGUUUUUAUUAUAUUUUUUAUUUAAAAUUAAUUAAAAAGAAUGAGGUAGCAUGUUUUAGUGGUAUUUAAUGUUUUAGUGGGUAUUUAAUGGAUAUUACCCAUCACAUUAAUGGUUAAUGGUGGUACUUUGGAUGGCCUAAGCUGUAUUUGUCGGUUGUUUUAAGAGAUUAAAGGCAAAAUCUAACAAAAUGAAACAUUAAUCAUACAGAAACGAGAAACCGGAAAUCUAAAUAAUGAAAGGAUUCAGAAAUCUUCUAUAAUUUUAAAUUAUCAACAAAAUCAUACUACCAUAUAUUCCAUCUUCCCAAAGCUUAUAAACAUCGGUUACUGAACACAUGCCACAUACAUUAAUAAUCAACUUCCAAUGACAACGAACAACACUAGGGAUUGUAUUGAAACAAAGAAAAGCGAUGAUGAGAAAGAAAUAAACUGCAAGAGAAGGAUUAGGGGUUUCCUGCGAUUCAUGGGAUACCAAUGUUCUACUGAUCCCGCUACUCUCCGGGAAGAGGCUGUACGCAAGCUCAAGGAAAUCGAGAAAAGAAAACGCAAGCAUGAAAAUUCAUUGGAUACCAAUAUUUUUCAGACGAAUGAUGAUGGUGAUAUGAUGACUUCUAUGAUCAAUCAUAACAUUGGUGACGAUGAAGGAAUAGUUAUAUCCGGUAUGAUCAACACAGAACUCACUAUCACCUACAAGUACAGAAAACUUAUCAAAUUUAUCAAAUAAUGUUUAUAUUUGAGUUUAGCAUUCAUAUGGAUCGACAACAACAUUGUUUUACAGGGGAAGAUAAAGAAAGUUCGAGAACAACAAAAGGGAAAGAGAAGGUCAAUGAGCUUUAGAAGCCAACAAGUAAUUCAUAGCAUGACAAUUUGUCUUAUAAUGAUUAACUGCUUAAGGUAAUGAAGUCUCGUACAAUUUUUUAAAUAGUGUUAGGAUUGUUGAAUGUUAAAUACAAAAGUUAAGGUUUUUUUUAGUUAUUGUAAGUUCAUGUCACAAAAUUUAAGGUUUUUUUAGUUAUUGUAAUUAAGUUCAUGAUGGAAUAGUUAUUUAUUCUUUUAGUAUAUAUAUUAGCUUUAUCUUUAUGUAAUAAAAACUAUAUAUAUUAUUUUUGAAAAGGGAUAUUAAUAAAAUAAUUAUAUUUUUGAUUUAAUAUAAAAAUUUGAAAAUAAGGUUUUUGAAAAUUGACCAAAUUUUAUGGAAAUCAUUUUGGACUAAUUCAUGUCACCACCGAAUGUUUUUUUACUACAAGAAGGUAAAUUUCGGAUGUUGCAAGGGAUUGAGAUUCCGGACUGAAAUCUUAGACAAUUUGUUUAUGGAAUUCCAAUAACAAAAUGGGAUUCAUAAUUCAAGAAUUUCAAAAAAAUACUCCAUUUUUACCUUUAAAAACAUAAGGUGAGGUUUCCUAAAAAAAUUUCCGAUGACCAAAAAUUUCUCACCACUUCCUACACACACAAGAUAUAAGGUUUAUAAUUAGACAUUUGGUUGAAAACAAUCUAACGAGCAAACAAACCGGUUUGUGGCUCUGAUACCAAGUAAAAAUUCAAGAAACCUUUAUUUACCAACCAAACAAAUUUCAGAAUCUACAAAACAAUUACACAUAUAACAAGUCAAUCUCACACUCAAUAAAUUUGGAGUAAUCAACAAAAACCGGAUCAAGAAUAAGAACCUAAAGGUGUAUAACAUAUAAACCCUAAAUGAGAGUCUAAAGAAUGAGAAAGAAGCAUAAAGAAAGGAUGAAGGUGAGAGAGUAAAGAGUAUGUGUGUGUAUUUAUGUAUGGAAUGAAGAGGAAACAGUUUAGGCAUAAAACUAACUGGUAGCUUAUAUUUGGUUAGAUAUUAAAAGAUCCAAACGCUUCAUACCAAAUACGCUUUUUAUAUAUUAGGACAAAAGCCUAAGCUCAAGUACUUUUAGCCCAAUACUGUUUUUAAUAAUUAAAAGCUUUCAUUUAUCACAUUAAAGAGUUCAAUUCCAUAUUUAUUGAAUGUUAAUAGAGUUUAAUCUAUUGAAUUUCCCACCACCUUAUUAAACUCCUAUAUUAGACUAUGCAUUGCUAACAAUAUCUUUCUAUUUGUCUACAUCAAAAAUAAAACUUUCCUUCCAAAUAUAUUCAUAAUAUUUGAAUGCACGCAUGAUUUCCAUGAAAGGAAAAUUACUAGCUAGUACGGCUUGAUAUACACAAUCAAAAGUUUUACAUUACGGGCGUGUUUGGUACAGAGCUUUUGGAAGCGUUUGGGAGCUUCUAGCUUUUAGCUUUGAUAAAACGCUCUAGUUUAAACAAAAAACUUCGUUUGGUAGUACGAGCGUUUAGCUUUUAGUUUUAACAAAACGCUCCGAUUCUAAAAGCUACUUCAUGUAGCGUUUAACAAAACGCUCCUGAGCUUUUGAAAUCAAUUUCCAUAAUUACCCUUAAAAAUAUAUUUAUAUAUUUAUUUAUUUUUAAUCAAUUGUCAUUUUAUGUAAUUUUAUAUAUUUCAAAAGCUUCCAGCUACUUUUGCUAAACAUUCAUAUAACAAAUAAAAGCUACAACUUCCCGCUACCAGCUACCAGCUACACACUACCAGCUACUAGCUAACCGCUAUCCGCUUUCAGCUAACAGCUACUUUUAUCAAACACGCUCUACAUAGUAUAUGAUAAAUUUGUUUCUGAUUUUUCAAUUUUCGUGUCAAAAUAAUUAGGUUCAGAAAGAAUCACAAAGUUAGCUCGUGUAAAAUGCAUCUAAAUUAUCUAAAAAAUCGAAUGAAAUGAAUGCCACGUGAAAAAGGUUUGUCUCACUUUCGAAAGUGUUUAAUUAACAUCAGGGGAGCAUCGUAAAGUGGACCAAAAAACCCCAAACCAAAAUACAUGCUCAAAACUCAAAACAGGAAACCGCCUUCAUUUAUUGUACUCAAAACUCAAAUGCUUACAUCUACACGCCUCCAGAUCGAGUUUAACCAAAUAAUUGAACACGAAACAGGGUCCUUAUAUGAAAACAAGCAAUGGCAAACCACAUACAACAGAUUUGCAACAUCGAUUAAGCUUUCCAAGAUGACAAUGGAGGAGUGUCGGAAUCCUGAUAUGUUGAAAUACCAGCACCAUAUCUGUCCCCCUUCACCGAAUCAGCUGAAGCAAUAGCUUCAAGUUCAGCCAUAUCUUCUGGUGUUAACUUCACCGAUAAAGCUCCAAUGUUCUGUUCAAGAUUCUCAAUCUUUGUAGUUCCUGGAAUUGGCACCACAUCAUUUCCCUGGUGGUGAACCCAAGCCAAUGAUAGCUGUGAUGGGGUGCACCCCUUCUUUGUCGCCAUCUCAUUCACCCUCUCAAACAUUUUCGUGUUGUGUUCAAGAUUUUCAGCUUGGAACCUCGGCAUAUACUAUAAAAAGAAAGUGUUAAAACAUGAAGUACGUAAUGGAGAAAUAUAACGAAAAAGGGUAAGUAACAGACCUUACGGAAGUCACUAGCAUCCAAGUUCUCGAGCAUCUUUGGGCCAGAUGAGAAGAACCCACGUCCAAGAGGACUGUAUGCAACAAUCCCAAUCCCAAGUUCUCUGAUAAAGUAUGAUAUACAGAGCUUAAAGUUUGGACUUUGGAUUCAUGGUUAUUGAUGAAUUAGAAAAUGGAUAGAAAAAGGAAGCUAAUUAACCUGCAAGUAGGAAUAAUAUCUUCUUCAACAUCUCUUGACCACAACGACCAUUCCAGUUGUAUGGCUGUUAUUGGGUGCACAGCAUGAGCUCUUCUGAUGGUUGAUGCCGAUGCUUCUGAUAAUCCAACGUAUUUGAUCUUCCCUUCUUCCACAAGCUCCUUCAUUGCUCCCAUCUAAGAAUAGAAAAAGAAAGAUUUUAGGAGAUGAAUAUGAAUGGAUGAUGAAUUUAACGACUGAAAGAGAACGAUUGUGUGAAGAGGUGGAAACCAACUGUGAUUUCGAUAGGCACACGCUUGUCGAUUCUGUGCUGAUAAUACAGAUCGAUACAAUCGACACCGAGUCUCUUCAAGCUAGCUUCACAAGCAUACUUUACAUAGGCCGGAUCUCCACACACCUCCAUCGCAGCACUAUCGUAUUUGAUACCAAAUUUGGUUGCGAGCUCCACUUUCUCCCUCAUCCCUCCCUUCAAAGCCUGUAGUUACCAAGAAACGAUAGUUAAGAACAGUAAGUUGACUAAUUCGAAACAUGAAAAGAGUCAAAAGGUCCCUGUUCUCUAACAUCAUAAAGCUAAUCGUAGGACAAUUGAUCAAAGUAAGAUAUAACAUAUAAGCUUGUAUAGUAGUUGAAGAAUGGUUGUUACCUUGCCGAUAAGGAUCUCGUUGGUUUGAGGGCCGUAGAUGUCGGAGGUGUCGAGAAAGGUAACGCCGGCGUUAAUGGCGUGGUGGAUGAGCUUGAUCAUGUCAGGUUCAGGUUUGGGGUCUCCAUAGAAAGCGGACAUGCCCAUACAACCCAAACCCAGAGCCGAUACCUCUAAACCCUGUGAACCCAGUUUGAUUCUUCGAACUCCUGUCAUUUUCGAACUUCGAUCUUCUUCUAUGGAUUGAUUGAAGAGAGCCACUCCUGGCAGAUUACUUUAUAUAGGGACUGUGAAGUGGGGAUUUGAGUUGGUAGGGUCUCCAUGUUGAGUAAUUAAAGUCAAACUAGGACGGGCGAUGACGAUAGAUAGACGCAAGUGCCCACGCAUUUAAUUUAUACAGGGAAAUGGAAAUUUGAUAAUUUAGCCAAAAAAAAAUUGUAGAAAAUAACCAAAAAUUAAUAAAUUAUACGAACUAGCCACUGAAGUUGUCGUUGUUUAAAGACCAUAUGUGAUUUCUUUGGUUCAUCUGCAAAUAUACAAUCUCUUAAAAGUUAAAACCCUUGUUUUUGUAGCUACAAAGUUAAGAAAACUCUUAUCAUUUUUGUAGUUACAUAAUUGGAAAAACUCUCUUGUUCUGUAUGAUUUUAUGUUUAUAAAGUACUAUUAAAUCGAAUUUGUAUAAUAUGUUUAUGUUAAAUAUGUUAAGUUUAAGUUACGUGAAAUAUAUAUAAAAUAAACUAGGUGUGAGACUAAUGUAUUAAAUGAGUUUAUUUAAAAAAAAUUAAAUAUAAAAAUUUAAUAAUUUGAAAAUUUUGAAUUUAUAAGAAAAAUGAGAAUUUUUUUGAAUUACUAAAAUUAAUGAGGCUUUAAUGUUUUGAAUACAUUACAUAUAUAAACUAUUUAAUACCUUACAUAUAUAUAUUACCUUACAUAUUGAAUGUGAAAUUUUAAUUUAAUAAAAAAAAUAUACAAUGAAAUGACAAGUGGAAAAUAGAAAAUUAAAAAGUUUUAGAAAAUACUAUGUGUCCAAAUGAAGGAGAAGAUGACAUGUGGCAAAAAAUAAAACAUUCAUUUAUUAGAGUAGAUAUAUGUGAUAUUUUGAGUUAAACACGUUGAGAUUACAAGGUUCCUAGUUCUUCAUUAAACAAAUUUGGUUUUUUUUGGAACCGUUUAAUAUAUUAAUAAGACCAACCUCUAGCAAGUGACUAGAGGAGGGGAAAUAACAACGUACAAAUGUUAAGAUUACAGAUUACACACAAAGAAACGAAGAUCUACACCAUGCUAACCAAUCAAUACUCCUGUUUUUUCCCCUGUUUUUUAUCCAUAGGUAUGUAGUGGAUUUGAUCAUGUCUACACAAAUGAGAGCAGGAAGUCGGUUUUCAUUGAAAAUUAUGUUGUUCCUUACUUUCCAAAUGUUCCAGAGCGUGUCGUAACAGAUUCCCAUUAGCAACCUUCUUUUUUUGGGGCAGUUGGACCAUGCUUGAGCGUAUGUGAUCACUUCAUAUACUGUUUUGAGUUCUACGAGAGGAACUCUGCACCAUGUUAGCACCCGUUGUAUAACCGUGUUCGCGUAUUUACACCCCACCAAUGCAUGGUCUGCGCAUUCCACUACUUCUUCACAGUGAUUGCAUAAAAAUUUUUCCACAUCUACCACUUUGGAUAAAAGGCCCAAGGUUGAAGGUAUUUUGCCCAUUUUAUCCCUCCAAAUGAAACAAUUAAUUUUAAUUGGGAUCUCCCUCAGCCAUGUAAACUAAUCCAGGUUUAGUGUGGGGUUCAAGUCUAGUUUUUUCCGGAGGACGUUUACUGUGAAUGAUCCGUCAACAGUGAGAUUACAUUUCCAUGUUUCACCACCUGGACCUCCUUCUUUGUAUAGCACUGUUUCAGUUGGGAUACCUUUAUUUUGAAGGUAUUUUCCGAUACUCGUGAUGUUUUUCCACACACCUGGUAUGUAUUUGCUUGCAUAACAGUGGUCUGGUUUGUUGUAUAAAUUAUGCAUGCUAUGUAUGGCUUUGGCCCAAAGGGAUGUAGGCUCAGAUCGUAGUCUCCACCACCACUUCAUAACGAGGGAGCAGUUUAGAGAUUUUAUCGUACCAACACCAAGCCCGCCAAUGUCUUUGGAUGCGGUGACUUUGUCCCAAGAUACCUAGUGUAUGCUUCUUUUUUCAUUUGUACUACCCCAUAAAAACUUCCUACGAAUUCGUUCUAACGUCUCAAUCACCCCCUCGGGAGCCACAAAUAUCGAGAGAUAAUAAGUUGGUAAUGUAACGACCCAAUUUUCACAUCAAAAAAAUUUCGUUUUUAAAACAUUACUUAGAAAACAUUAAUAAUUAAAACAUUGUUUAAUUAAACCAUUUCACAUCAAAAACCCAAAUUUGAAAUCCACAACAUGUAAACAACCAAAAUAUCAGAGUAUCAAUCCCAGAAUAAACUCAUAACUGCGGAAACAAGAGUGUGUGUAAUAUGCCGCUACCACGCCGGCUCCUUUCCGCUAGCUGAAGAGGUACCUGAAAAACCAACUGAAAAAUGUAAGCACAAAGCUUAGUGAGUUCCCUUAUCAUACCACAUAACAUACAUACUGCCAGGCUAUUCUGGGGUGCCUGACUACCCGGUACGGCUAUUCUAGGGUGCCGUCCUACCCGUGCGGCCAUUCUGGGGUGCCGUCCUACCCAUGUUAAGCCAUUCUGGGGUGCUGACUACCCGUGUCAAGCUAUUCUGGGGUGCUGACUACCCAUCGGUCCUAACAACCGAUCCUUGAGGACUAUUUCACCCCCUACUGCUACUUACACAUACAUUAUAACAUAGCAUAUUAUUAGACAUAUCUGGGGUGUCUGAACUACCCUUCGGUCCUAACAACCGAACUCUACUUCUAUCACAUAUAACAUAUCAUGCUAGCAUAUAACAUAUCGUGUAGUAGUAAACCUAGAUGAUAUCACAAAGACAUUCAUCUAACGUACAACUCCUACUGGUGGGUCGGCAUUGUGGCCGUAGACCCACCCUCAAAGUAGCUGCUAAUCUGAUCAGGAACUGAUUGUCUACUGCUGCUACUGCUGCUCCGGACGUCCUCCGGCUAUAAUUCCCACAAAACGAUCAGUCAAACACUGGUAGAUGUACUUAGGNAGUCCCUCUCCCCACUCACUGAGUCACCCUUGACUCACCACUCGGGACUAUGGGGCCGACUCGAGUCCCGACUCGCCGAGUCCGUGAGCAACUCGCCGACUUCCUCGAGCGGAUCCCCUACUCGCUUCCAAUCCACACCAGAACACCCCAUACGAGGGUUUGGGGUUUUUGGGGACUUCGUUACACGGUUAAUUCCGCGUGCAGGUACGAAGGGUUGAACCUUCAACGCUUAAACCCCUCUUGCUCUGUGAAAGUUCAUAUGACUCGCCGAGUUUGAAGAACAACUCGGCGAGCUCCAGGCAAUCUUCAUAGGACUCGCCGAGUUGUUCAUCCAACUCGCCGAGUCUAAGACCAUCUUCAUAGAACUCGUCGAGUUCCACUUUGGGACUCGCCGAUUCCCUCGACCCAUUUCCUGAGUAGGCCAGAUCUGAGACAUGCAAUGCUUCAAAACCACAGAUCUAUGGUCCUAGGGCGUGUUUACCACAUAAAGUUGCAAACUUUACGUGCAUGCAUGGCCCUAUGAGCUCAAACAUGCAAUUCCAAGCUCUUUAAGAGGUCCUACACUCAAUAGGGACCUCAAUCACCUCAACCACCAAGACUUUAUGCUACUAGGAUGUCCUAAAGGUCCAAAUCCGAAGUCCUUGCAGAACAUUAACCAUAACACAUAGAGAUUUAGGUUCUUAGGGCUUAAAACCUCUUUUUUAGGGACAAAAAAAGGGGGAUUCAAUGAACUAAAGAUCAAGGUAGGAACUUUUCUACCUGAAUAGAGGCCCUUCACAGAGUAGAUUUCGGAUCUUCUUCCCUUCUUGCACUCUUCAACCUUCUCCUUCUUCUCCCAAGCUCCAAACCACCUUCACAAUGCUAAAAAUCACCCACAAGGACACAAAGGGGGCUAGGGUUUCGUUCUACAGAUCUCUGGGAGUGCUAGGGGAAAUGGAGGUUGGGUUAGAUCGUUUAAAUAGGGUACAAACACCCGGGUUAGGGUUUUAGUCCAGACAGGGUCUACUCGCCGAGUCCCAUGAGCCUACUCGCCAAGUAGACAAAGUAGAUCUCGCGUCUAGUCCCGCUUCUACUCGGCGAGUUAGUCCUUCAACUCACCGAGUCCAAGAUUAAAAUGCAAUAUAUAAUUAGAGUUAAUAACCAAGAAUACAUACCAGGAACCAGGUGCUACAAAUCUCCCCCACUUAUUUUAGACUUCGUCCUCGAAGUCUGUUGCUUGCUCCAAAAUAGCUCGGGGUAAUGCUCCAUCAUCUCUUCCACCGGCUCCCAAGUCCACUAUGAUCCCUUCCUUUGUUGCCAUUACACCUUCACGAGUUCCACUCGCUUGUUCCUCAAAUCCUUCGACUUCCGGUCGAUGAUUGCUACUGGUCUCUCAACAUAAUUGAGGCCGCCAUCGACCUAAAUGUCCUCUAACGGAACCACUGCGGAGUCGUCUACCAGGCACUUCCGCAGCUGAGAAAC